rnacentral:lncRNA from 1 species
CUUUUUUUUUUGUAAAGACUAAAAAACCAUUUCUCCCGACCAAAAUGAAGAGAGUAUUUGUUUUAAAAGUUUUUCUCCGGUGCACCAAAAACUUGUUAAAGAUAAACUAAUUUUGAAAGGCCAAAAAGCUAUUGUAUAAACUAUUUUUCUAAAGCUAUAAAAAUGUUAAGAAGUCCAAAAAUCAAUGAGUUUAGUCAAUAGAUGAGUAUUUAUUUACUCAUUAUCAACUAAUACGUACUAGAUAAAAUAAAAUAAAGAAAUAGAGUAUAUAAAAGUAGCUCUUGAAUAUCUAGAGAGUCGUUUAUUCCCCUUUGUAACUUGGACACAACAAAAGACAGAGUUUCCUUUGGAUAUCAUUCUCAAUUCAUACCAACUCCCAUCUAACCAAAUGUACACUCCUAUCUAAUUCCGUCAUUAAAAUGGACAUGUUGCAAGGAUGACAAAUGUGGUAAUAAUGACACAUAAAUAUUUUUAAAUAAUUCAGCUCUUUGUCACAAUAUUGGACCUAGUAAAAGAUAAACACGAAAAUUUAAAAUUUAAAUUCCAAGGCCAGGUUUAUCCUUUUUUAAAAAAGAAAAUAAUAAUAUUUUUUGGAAAAUGGAUUUAAUAAUGAAAUGGUUUAGUCACAAAUUAAGAUGUAAUAAUUCAUUAUAAUUAACUGAUAGUAAAUCUUAUGUCAAACUAACAGGAUUGAGCAUUAAUAAAAACGAAUAUCUAAACCGAUUUGACAAGAAAUAAAUACUAGUCGUAUUUACCAUGAUAAUGAGGUAAUUAGUGAAUACUUCUCCAUUUUAUUUUACUUAACUAUUAUAUUUAAAAUAAAAUUUUAUUUUUAUUACUUGUCAUUUUAACAAAUAAUAAAAUAUUUUUACCAUUAUUAUGCUUAUCACUAAAAUAUUAAUUAGUGUCGAACAUGAAUCAUCAAUAUAAAAGGAAACACACAUGGAGUAUAUGAUUAAUUAGGAAACUUUAUCCACUUGUAACAUUUCGUUUUAUGAAAAUCAAAUUAUAAAGUUUAAUCAACACUUUAAAAUAUAAAUUUUUAUUUUAUUAAUAUGAGAUUUUUUAAAAAUAAAUUAAUUAGGUGGUGGAUAGGGAAUAAGUCAAAGUACCGGCGUAGAAGGGAAGUAAAUAGCUUUUUAUUAAGAAAAUAAAAAAAAAGUAGUCCGUAAAAGAAGUGAAUGUGGUGAGUGGAGUGAAGAACAUAACCAUGUGGGCAGGAGAAGACAAAGACAAUUUAUCGUCAAUUGCGGCGCCCAUUGGAUGUACAAUCUAGAAUUCUGUGUAGGGGUAAUUUCGUCUUUCUCAUCCUACUUUCCUUAUACUCUGGUUCACGUCCUUAACCAUGCUUCAUUUUGGUACUCCCUCCGUUUAAAAAAGUAAUGGCUUAAUUUGACUUGGAACGAGGUUUAAAAAUAAAAAUAAAAAAUUUAAUUUUGUGAUUUUAAAUUAAAGUUAUGUCAAAUGUACUAAAAUGUCAUUUAAUCUUGUGGUCUUAAACAUGUCACUUGGAAAGUUGAAGUUAAAGUAUUGCCAAAAAAAUAAAGGGAUUAUUCUUUUUAAAACAAACUAAAAAGGAAACUAUACCAUUCUUUUUUUAAAAAAGGAAUAUUUCAUGGAUGAUAUUUCCUUCAUUCUUUUUUUCUUCUAAUAUAUUAGAGAAGAGUGAAUAUUUAGUGACUUUUGAGUUAAAAUUGAAAGUUGAGUGUGCAUAGUUGAAUGACUUUUGAGUUAAAAUUGAAAGUUGAGUGACUUUCUGAGAGAAGAGUGCAUAGUUGAAAGAUCAUCUGAGAUACUAACUCUUUUUUCUUUUACGAUUGACUUUCAAUUUAUAUAAUCUUUGAAUAAUUUUUCUUUCAUGAGUUAAUUUUCAAAUUUGAGUUAAAUUCAAAAUUUAUUCCAAUUUGAAAUCUAGAUCCACACUUAAAUUGAAUCUGAGUGUGAAAAAUGGUGUUAGAAUAAAUUAAAGUUUUACAUUAAUUGAGAAAUGAAUUACCAAUAUUUGAAGCUUAACUAACUCACUCCAGUACAUAUUGGUGAAAAUUAUUACUUAGUUUUUUCUCGCACCCAACACCAAACAAUAUAUUCAUUAGAACUCAAUUAGAUGAUUGAAGCCUGAUAAGGCCAAAAAUGAAAGUAGUCAAAGAAAGCGGUAAACAUGUUUAUUUUAUCUAACUUUUUUAUAUAAAUUUGGACAAUUUUUCCUUCCUAAAUCAGUUUUUAAGGUAAAAUUAAGUUAAAUGUCAUAUCUUACACCAUGCACAACUACAAGUAGAUAAAUUUUGUCUUUUCAUACACUAUAUCACUUAAUUAUAAUUGAUUAAUGUGUAUUUUAUCUCAAUCAUCAAUUAAUCAUGAAUUUCAACUUUAAUUUAACUUUUGAUUGGUUCAAAUUUUCUUUCAUUUCAAAUGACAACAAUUUUAAAGAACUUUAUCCAGUAUAGAAAAAGAGUGAUGAUUAUACUUAACCAUGGUUAUUUUUCUUAUUGAUGGUUUAUUUCAAUUCUCUUCCCAAAGGUGAAAUGAAGAACAUGAUUAAACCAAUAAUGUGAUGAUUUAUAAUUUUGUAAUCAUUAAUCAAAAGUGUCAAGUUCGAUAUUCUUUUGUUGAUAGCAUUACUUCUAAAAAUGAACAAUAUAAUGCAUAAAUUUAAUUUAGUUGAGUCUAUAAUGCAGAUAUCGAAUUAAAAAACCCAAAAAGAAGAAAAAGAAGAGAACUUGAUUAACUAUGGGUUAUGGGACUUUUUGGAGAUACUCGCAUGGGUUCACAUGAUCCUCCCAAGUUGCGUGAGAAUGAAGCUAUAUAAUGUGGGCCCCAUUAUUCCCUCAUUUGUGAUGGGAAAGUAAGUGGGUCCCUUUGAUUAUCCAAUCCGACGUCGUUUCUUACGUGGAUAGCACUUCCUUGCCAUUAGCUGCUGUUAUUUAUUCCCAUCUAUUCAAAAACGAAAAAGAAAAAUGCAUUUAUUUACACGCAGAUAAUGCCAAUUAUUUUCUUCUCUUUUUUCCCCUUAUGCUUCUCUUCCUUUGAACGUAACACAUAUUUCUCGAAAAAUAAAAAUAAAACGUUUAUGUCAGUCACUUUUAUAACAAGAAGUAUCUCAAUUCUAUAUAACAAAAUUAAGGGAUAUAUCUGGCACGGACGGAGCCAUAGUAUAUAAAUAUCAAAUUCCCUUUGAUUAUUCGUCUAUAUUUAUUUUCAACUUUCUUAUUAAAAUUUCUAACUCCGUCGUUGAUAUCAGAUCAUUUUCUCUAAAUAUAUAUAUAUAUAUAUAUAUAUAUAUANNNNNNNNNNNNNNNNNNNNNNNNNNNNNNNNNNNNNNNNNNNNNNNNNNNNNNNNNNNNNNNNNNNNNNNNNNNNNNNNNNNNNNNNNNNNNNNNNNNNNNNNNNNNNNNNNNNNNNNNNNNNNNNNNNNNNNNNNNNNNNNNNNNNNNNNNNNNNNNNNNNNNNNNNNNNNNNNNNNNNNNNNNNNNNNNNNNNNNNNNNNNNAAAUAUAUAUAUAUAUAUAUAUAUUUGAUAGAGUAACAAGUACAGAUAUAAAAUGAAAUUGGGGAGUAAUUUCUUGAACUACUUAUUUAUGCAAUUUACGACUUCCUAUAUAAAUGUGAAUUUGAUAAAGAGAAUAUGAUUCUUACGGUGAACAGAAGUAAUUAUAAAAAAAUAGGUGUAUUAUAUUAUGGGAAUUAAACAGCAGCUAAUAUUGCUUGAUGAUGUAACUUAUUCUUCACUUAGAGGUCGUUUGGUAGAGUGUAUUAGGAAAAAUAACGCAUGCAUUAGCAUUGUGUAUUAUUAAUACCUUGUUUGGUACUCUUUUCCAACCUAUGUAUAACUAAUGUUUGCAUUAGUUAUACACUCUAUUGUGUAUUAAGGUGUGUAUUGCUAAUACCAUGAAUUUCUAGGUAUUAGCAAUGCAAUGGCUUUAAUGCAUGCAUUAGAUUAACUAAUGACAAAACUACCCUCUAAUAAUAAUAAUAAUAAUAAAUAAUAAAUAAUAAUAAUCAUCAUCAUCAUCAUAAUAAUAAUAAUAAAUAAUAAAUAAUAAUAAUAAUCAUAAUAAUAAUAAUAAACAUAAUAAUAAUAAUAAUAAUAAUAAAAAUAAAUAAUAAUAAAUCAUAAUAAUAAUAAUAAAUAAUAAUAAUCAUCAUAAUAAUAAUAAUAAUAAUAAUAAAAAUAAAUAAUAAUAAAUCAUAAUAAUAAUAAUAAAUAAUAAUAAUCAUCAUAAUAAUAAUAAUAAUAAAUAAAAUAUUAAUAAUAAUAAUAAGAAAGUGCACAGAAUAAAAGAAUGUGGGGGUAUUUUGUAAACAAAUAUUUUUUUAAUAGUCUUUAUACAAGGCUUGCUAUUUCCAAUACAUAAAACCAAACAAUGUAUAAGAAAUAAUGCAAGCAUAACUAAUGCAAGCAUUACUAAUGCAUGCAUUACUAAUACAUCAUAUUCAGCAUUAUUCUUAUACACUCUACCAAACGACCCCUUACUGUAUUAUUAUUUUUAUUUUUAUAUUUUUUUCCAUUAUUCUGGAUCCGAAAAUACCAUAGAGUUGAUUCUAAAAAUACAGGCAAACGCCGGAAGCAAUUUUAAGAUUUUUUUUUAUACCAAUAUAUAAUAUCAAUAAUUAUAUGAAUAAUGAUUUAAAACACAAUGGCGUAAAGUAAUGUGCUUUCCUGUAAGUCAAUCCGGAGGCACUGAACGAAGUUUCAAACAUUUUUACUUUCAAAAAAUAGAAGAACACAUAGACAAUUUUACAAAAAAAACAAUAAAUUAUAUAGAAUACAAAAGAAUAAAAAUAUACUCCAAUGAGGUAGAAAAUCUACAAAGUUGAUUCAAAGCAUAAGAUAUGUGAAUAAUAAUAUUCUACAGCAAUUAAUAAAAACCUAAUUAAAUGAAGACCUUAUAUUACAUAUACAUAAGUUUGAAUCAUUUACAUAAAAGAAAUGUUUUUUUUAAGGCUUACAAAAUGUAUAAUUCAAAGCUAAAUCGUGCAAUGUAUCAGGUACACAGCACCUCCUUAGAAGUAACUGUCCAUGUUUAUUUGGCACACUUGUUGAGAAAUUAUCAUAUCACCCCUAAUUAUAUUAUAUCUAAAUAUUGGAAAAUAAAUAAUAUUCGCUCCGUAUAUUUUUAUUUAUUCAGUAUUGACUUGACAUAUCUGUCAAAAAGUAAUAAAUAAAAUGUUAUUCACCUUUUACGUUAUGAAUAUAAUAAAUAUUUUCUUAAGCCACCUCAGUGGUGGGGGUUAGGCAGACCCCUACCUGUUCAUUACAACUGUAUACUCUAUUUCUCUUGAUUAUUUUAUGAAUAAUUUUCAAUUGAUAGAGUAUGUGAUAAGUGCGUUUGGUUAAUGCAGAUGUUGAAAGCUGUACCAAGGUUUGACUAUUUAGACAACUAUAUUAAUGGCACAUACUGUGCAGCUUUGAUUAAUUCAAUGAAUACGUACUAUGCACAUUGUGAAGUACACCACUUGAGGCUUACUUAGUGAAGGCUUACUUAGCACAUUAUUUUCUUUCUACACAUUUGAGAGAUGCUCAACAAAUUAGUAUAUGUUUCAAGAACAUAAUACAUGUUUGUUUAUUGCAUCCGAUUGUGAUUUUUCCACUUUACCAAUUUCACCUUUCUUCUCAUGCGAUUGAAAAUCAAUCGUAGAUAAUUCUAUAAUUAUAAUAUUAUAGAUUAUAUUUUAGGUAAUAUCCUAAAUUAAAUACAUAAAUUUUAAUUUCAAAUCUUAUACUGAAAUAACUCAGACCUUAGUGAUGCCAAAAUUGGUAAACCUAUGAUUAAGAUUAAUAAUCCAAAGCAUUUCUCGGUGCUUUGACCUUCUUUUUCAUCUUAUAGGAGUUGCACUUUGAUCCACUUAAUAAUCACCUAAUAUUAAAUCUUUUCUUUCUUUUAUUUUGCCACUCCAUAUUCAUCCAUAACCUCUGAUUGGCUUUUUAAAGAACAAUUAUUUGCAUUAUUGACGCUUUUAUGGGGCAUUAAGAAAUAUAAUUGCCAGCAUGACUCAUUAUUCUGACCAAAUUAUUUUGGUUGACUUUCUUUAAUGUUAACCCUAAAUGUUUUUGUAUUAUAUUGACCUCAAAGAAUUUUUGCAACAGCUUAAUCACUAAAUUAAAUCGUCAAUUUGUGUCAAGAAGUCAAUACUUGUAUAUGUAUAUUUAUUAAACAAAAAUUUGACCUCAAUAUACAAUAUAAUUUUCCGGUGAAGCCGCAAAGGGGAGUCGCUUGCACACCGCUCCACCCCUGCGUGCCAUCAUACUAGUUGACCUUUAUAUGAACAUAAACAUGCACGUUUAUUAUUUUAAUUUUUGUGUUCGUUAGUGAUCAUAUAUAUAUACAGAUAUAUAUUGGACAUUUCAUAUUUUAUAAAGAUAAUAAGAGCACUAAUUAAAUUAAACUAAACUUUAUGAUGUUAGUAGCAUAGAAGUUGACAAAAGUGGAUGCCAACACAAACAAAUUAAGACUUUUAAAGCUUAUCAAGAAAAUAAAUUGGCUUUGAGAGAAGUUGAAGUGUGCCACUACUCAAAAAAAAGAAUUUUCAAAACGUUUAAUUAAUAAAUUAGAACUCCCAAGUCCUAAUCGUUAUGGCUAACGGAUAGACUUUCACUAUGUAUAAUAAUUGCAAAGAAAUAAAAGAGUUAAUUGAUGCAUGUAAAUAUGACAUGUGUCAAUUUUAAUAAUGCAAUUUAACCAAUCUAAAAUAGUGGACAUAACAUCUUGAUUACUAUUUGAAUUUUGAACUCAACGAGACCACGACUGUUUUGUAGUGUACAUUAAUUAUGUCCAAAUUUCAUUUACUAUUCCAAUUGUAAGCUUUCAAAUUCAAUACAUAGUUAUAUAUAUGUAUAAACUUAUAAUAAUAACUUCAUCACUCUUUGGAUGCGAUCCUUUUCUGAAUCAUGCAUGAAUGUGAAAUGUUUUGUGCACCUAAUUGUCACAUAUAGAGUUCUAUCAGUAUCAGUAACGUCAAAUUUAAGCGUAAAAUAUAUACUAAUUUGGGAGUAAUUAAUAAUAUAACAAAAUUUAUACUAAUCUAGUCUCAGUUUUCUUGGAAUCGUUCAAUCUCCAACUACAAAUCAAGCUUGUACAUGUCUAUCGGUAAACCACAUGAUUAGAAAAAUAUUACAAUAAACAAUUAUUGCUUCAAAUCUACAUUAAUUAGUUCAUUUGACCUUAAAAAAAGGAAAAAAGAAAGAAAGAGAGAGAAGCACAAAACACUUCCAUUAUUGCUUUUAAAAUUAGCAAAAGCAAUAACAAAGUCAGACAUAAAGGUCAGCACCCAUGAAUAGUUAAUGGGACAAGGGUUUGAAAAAUAUUUCAACUUUGGUCCGAUUUGCUGUUGCGAUACUAAACUUUCAUAAGGACCUAUUACCUUUCUAGACUAUUUAAUACCGUAUUUUUUACCCCAUGAACUAUUUAAUAGUGUAUUUUAAAGGUAUAUAUGUGUCCACGUGGACACAUUACUAUUUAUAAUUUUGCAUUAUUUUUUAUGUCCACGUGGGCAAAUAUAUAUGUUUAAAAUACGGUAUUAAAUAGUCUAGGGAGGUAAUAGGUCCUUCUGAAAGUUUAGUAUCGCAACANNNNNNNNNNNNNNNNNNNNNNNNNNNNNNNNNNNNNNNNNNNNNNNNNNNNNNNNNNNNNNNNNNNNNNNNNNNNNNNNNNNNNNNNNNNNNNNNNNNNNNNNNNNNNNNNNNNNNNNNNNNNNNNNNNNNNNNNNNNNNNNNNNNNNNNNNNNNNNNNNNNNNNNNNNNNNNNNNNNNNNNNNNNNNNNNNNNNNNNNNNNNNNNNNNNNNNNNNNNNNNNNNNNNNNNNNNNNNNNNNNNNNNNNNNNNNNNNNNNNNNNNNNNNNNNNNNNNNNNNNNNNNNNNNNNNNNNNNNNNNNNNNNNNNNNNNNNNNNNNNNNNNNNNNNNNNNNNNNNNNNNNNNNNNNNNNNNNNNUUAUGAAAGUUUAGUAUCGCAACAGCAAAUCCGACCAAAGUUGGGGUAUUUUUCAGACCCUUAUCCCUAGAUUAAUAUAACAAUCUUUUAGAAUAAUAUUUAUUUUAUUUAUAUAUCAAACACACACAAAAUAAAAAUAAAAAUAAUUCUAAAAACACAUUUCUCUUCCUACCAAACACCCCCUUAGAUCCAGCUAGUUUUCCUCCAUAUAUAGUGCCUUAGAUGACUCGAUAUCCUUUAAAUAAGACCUCCAAAGUCAACCCUUCACUCUUUCUACCAAAAUUAAAUAUAUAUAGGAAGGAGUCAACCCUACCCUAUAUUGAGAAUAUCACAACUCAAGCUUUUAGAUGAGAUAGUUACACACUUCAACAUGAUAUUAGAGCAUACAAAGGUCCUGAGAUUGAAUCUCACCGUCAUCCAUACAAAAAGAAUUUUCACAUGUUAGGCUCAUAAAAAUAAAUCAGGCUCACACGUGAAGGAGGAGGAGAUGGUCACACACUUCAACACCCUACCCCCACCCCCCACACAAAAAAAAACAAGGAAAAAAAAUGAGAAAGAAGAAGAUGUAAAACUUUUGGUGAGAUUUGAACUAGACAUUUUCUAUCUUGCUUGGAUGUACAUAUUAGAAGGGAUCAAUUAUUUAGUACUUCCCUUUAAUUUACAUUGGUCAGGCAAGCUUAUUUAAGAAAAAAUAAAUUCUCAUUUUGUGCAUUCUGUGAAAAUUCAUGAUCUACAGUUAUAGGUAAAAGUUGUCAACCUAAGACCAUCAUAGUCCAAUCUUUUAACUCAAUGUGGAUUAGAAAAUUGUGAAUUCAUACAUAAUUAAAUUGAUAUUGGGUUAAUUCACUCAUACUAAACUUUUUUUCACUAUAACAAUAAAGUUACCAAACUAUAUAUAUGUUUAUAUGUUACAUAAACAUAUAUAACUAACUAGUUCUUAAUUUUCUGACUAAAAAGUAAGGUCAAGAAAACUAUUUUUGUCAGAUUAAAAUAACUUGACUUCACCACUAUCAUAUUAAAGUUGAAAAUUUGGAUUAUUUUAUCCAUUGAUGAAUAUACAAUUGCAAACAAAAUAUUUUUUUCAGAAAAAAGAAGAAGAAGAAGAUGAUAAUACUUUGUCAAUUACACCGAUCAAGUUAUCUUGAUAGAUAGAUUUUGUCAUUAUAAUUGAUAAAGUUGAGUGACUUAACUAUUUUAUUUUAUUUAUAAUGAAUAAAGUAUAGUUACUGUAAAUGUGAAACAAAAUAGUUUUAUGGCUUUAUCAUUAUAGUGAGUAUAAUUGUUGUUGUAGGUAAGUUCUGUUAAUACGUGAUAUGUGCCAAGAAAGUUGUUUAAUUAACUAUACUAUCAUGUUGAAUAAAGUUCAAUAAACAUAUAUGAAAGUAGGGGUGUAUAGGCCAGGUUAGUUGAUUUUUUUUAAAUAUCACACUAAAUCAAUUAUGUUAGGUUUUAAAAUUUAUAAACCAAAUUAAUAAAGUCGGAUUUUUCAAUUUUGGAUUUUUAAACUUUUUUCCGUAAAAUCUUAAAUAAACAUAUAAUUAACUUGUAUACAAUUAUCUUAGGCUUUUUUAUAAAGAAAAAUAACAUAAAACGGGAGACGAGUUAUGACAAAAAAAAUAUAAUAAAAUGACAUAAACUAAGUUAUACUGAAAAUCAUCAUAAUCUAAAAGUAUUAAAACAUGUUGAAAUUAAUCAGUAUGAAUAAUAAGUAUUAAUUACAUGACUAAGGCCUUAUUUGUUUUCAUUAAGAUUAAGACCUCUGAAUCUAAAUACACGUCUGAACAUUAAGAUUUGCAUUAAGAGCUAGGUGUCUAGAUUUGAAUACACUUCUGAAUAUUAAGAUGUGGUCUCCAAAUCUGAACACUGAAUGAUUAUUGUUUGUUUUCAAUAGCUGAAUGUGCAUAUGAAAUCAAACAUUAUAUUAAUAAAGUAUUAUAAAAAAUUCAUUUCAACAAAAAAUAUUAAUUUUUUAUUAAAAAACUAUCAUAAUCAUCAAGCAAAAAAAUCACAAAUAAAAAAUAUUUUAUAGGCACAAUAUAAUAUCAAAAAGUUCAAUAAGUAUGAUAAAUACUAGUUGAAAAAUAAUAAAUAACGUAUCACAUUAUCAGCGCCUAACAUAUAUUUUGGCUAAUUAGAAAAACUAAAAAAUUCAUAUUUUUUUUCGAUAACCUUAAUCCAAUUCUCUAAGUUGUGAACCUCUAACGUCAUUUUUGUAGUGGACACCUUCACAAAAUAUAUUGACACAUGUAUUGUAUAAUGACUCUUCCCAUCCAAGUCCAUCUAAUUUUUUCAUAUAUUCUUCAAAUGUAGGUACACUAUUUUUUUAAUCAUCUUCUCAUCAAUUUCCAAUUCAGACGAAUACGUUUUUUUUUCUUUUCCAAAACUUUUUUCCAGUUGAAACUGAAGAUUGGGAUGGAGAAUUAUUAAGAGCUCCAUUAUUUUGGUCACCAACUAGUUCAACAACAAUAAUAUAUUAGUGUUAUCUCACAAACGGAUUUGAUGAUCAAAGAGUCUUAAUAAAAUUAUUGGCCUAAGACAAAAUUCUAAUAAGAGACCUCAAAUAUGUAUACAUAGUUAUUAUUUUUUAAUUAUGAAUAGCAUUUGUUUCACUCAAAAACCUUGAUGAACAUCAAUACACUAAAAAUAUUAUUGCAACUAGUGUUCUUGACAAACAUCAAUACACCCUAAGAAAAUUAUUAAUAUAAAAAAAAUACUUGUAAAGACUAUUGAAACUUAAUAGUUCAAGAGGAAAAAAAUAGUGUUUGAUUGAGAAAAGAGAAGAAGAAAGUUUGUAGUUGUAAGAGCAAAGUCACGCAAAGACUGAGAGAGGCGAUUCAAUAUUAUUUUAUAACUUAUUAAAUAAGUUUGAAUGGUGUUAAGACUCUCUUGCAGAUCUAAUCCGUUCAGACCUUUUUAGGGUCCAUUAAGAGGCCUUUUGAAAAAAGAAACAAAUAGACUUAAUGGACUGAAUCUGAAUCAUUCAAAUUCAGACCUAAAAACCAAACACACUUAAUGAACUGAAUCUGAAUGAUUAAGAUUCAGACCUCCAUUAAGUGCAAACAAAUGAGGCCUAAAUAUUAAAGGGAAAAAAUUAAGCUAUGUAUUUUAGUUAUCUAAAUCAAUGGAAAAUUAAAGAAAGAGAUAUUGAGCAGUAUUGUUAUUCCUAAUGUAAAUUGAAUUUCUUUUGUUAGCAUUGGUAUCGAUUAGGUUUUGGUUUGGACUCUAUUUGAAUUACUAGCAUUUAUGGUCUACAAAACAUACUAGACCAUUCAUGAAAUUCUAAAUCCAAACGUUAAAUUUGGUGAAAUUCGAAUACAUCCCAAAAUGUCCCAAUAUAUCGUGUGCAUCCCGAUUUCGAAUACGUCGUUCAACGUCUCAAUACAUCCCGUCUCGGUUUCGGAUACAUCACUCAAUGUUCCGAUACAUCGAAUACGUCCUGAUACAUCACGUACGUACAAUAAUGUAUUCCACCGAUAUUGUGUAAAGUGAUGUAUCCGAGAGUAGAAUUUUUUAUAAUUUUUUCAAAAUGAUAGGAAUUUUUAGAGAAUAUGAUAAAGUAAGUUGUGUAUUUAGAUAAUUUUUCCUUUAAAAAAUUCUAAAAUAUUUAUAAAUUAAAUUAUAAUAAUUUUUACUAGCAUAAUAAAUUAUGAUCGAAUUCUUUUUUUUCAAUAUCAAACCAAAUCAAAUCAAUAGUCAAUUUUUUUUUCUCAAUUAGACUAGAAUUUUCAAUUUAUGAAUUUUCUUUGUACACCCACAAAGACAUUUAAGAAAUGAUAUGUUUCAACUUUGAAGACAAGUACUCUUCAAAAAAAAAAAGUACUCUUCAAAAAUACCCUAGCAUUUAUCAUUUAUCAGUAUGAAAAUUACUCCCUCCGUCCCAUUUUAUAUGAUGUACUUUGAUUUGGCACAAACUUUAAGAAAAAUGGAAAGACUUUUAAAACUUGUGGUCCAAAAUGAAUGAUAGAAAUUUGUGUGGUUGUAAAUCAUUUCAUUAAGGGUAAAAAAGACAUUUCAUAGGCAAAUUGUUACUUAAAAUAGAAAUGUGUCAUUCUUUUUGGGACUGACUAAAAAGGAAAGUGAGUCAUAUAAAUUGGGACAGAGGGAGUAAUUAAUUACUGUAAGCUAAAAAUUUGUACGUCCUAAUAUGAAAAGCAUCACCAAAAAGGUUUAUGCCAUGCAUGUUAUCGUGUAACAAUUGCAGUUUGCUCUUUGCUUAGUAGUUGCCAUUAUCAAAUCUAGUUGAGUGAGAUAAUCACACAAAUCAUAUUCAUCCUUAUGUUGUCACAUCAAAGUCAAUUUUCAUAAACAAUACUCAUCAAGAAACUUAUUAAGACCUAAAUUGCAAAAGGACAACAAACCACUUGCAUGUAUUUCAUUAAUUAACUUUGAAAUUUAUCACCUCAAUAAUUCACAUUGUACAAGUUGAUUUCACCUCUUCCACUAUAAUAUCUCCAUCAUUGUCAUAUCAUCUUGAGAAAAAGUGUAUAUAAUUAUAUGGGACAAGAAUGAAGAUGUUUCUCUUGUUCAAUAUAUGUGCAACAUAAAUUUUAGAGGAAAGAACUCCAUUUUAACAAAAUCAAAAAAAGAAAAACAUUCAAAUUUGCUGAUAAACUUUGAUGAAAUGGUUCAAAUUUGUCCUCAAUAUAUAUUGAGAUCAAAUUGUAAUGAUUCGUAUGAUCGUUUUAUGCUUUAGACUUAUUUCUUCAGUGAUCCUUUCUAUAAAUUUCUUUUGUUAUUUCUGAUUUGUGAAAAUGAGUGACAGAAUUUUGAGGUUAUCGAAUGUGUUACGAAGAACAUUUUCAAUUUUGAAAGUCAGAAAUUCAGAAAGUUUGACCAAAGUUGAAAUUUUGGAUUAACAAGGUCAGCAUUUAAUGCAUGCCUAGGGCUAGACAUACUUAUUUUUUCUUUUCAAAUCCAUUAUUCAUAAUUCAAUUUUCGGAGCUAGAAUUUUGGUGAUUUCAAGCUUAAGGGGAUUUAAUAUUGAGUUUUACUUUUACAUCCGUUUUUACUAAUUUAUUAAAUGAACUUAAUAAGUUGAAAGGUUCUCCUAUAGGGUUUGGGGAGGUGUUAGAAUUUUUGAAUCGUGACACAAUAUACACAUACCUUUACAAGAUUGGUUUAAAUAUGUUCCUAUUGAUUAACAACAAUAACUUUUCAGUACCAUGGACUUUCAUUACUUAGUAAAAAGGUCAAUUAUGCCUUUAAACUAUGUUGGAUCAUCCAAAUUUGACCUUGAAUGUUGAAGAAAGGGAUCAUUGUUUUGAUGGGAACAACAUAAACUUCUUCAUCACUCAACACCUCAAAUGGCAAGGUCUCUAUAUCCCCAAAACUAAAAUUAACCACUCUCAAACCUCAAAUCAUUCGGAAUAAAACUCAAAUAAUCAACAAUUGCACCACAAAGUUUUCAUAUUUGUCGAAGCAACUCCGUCACCAUUCAUUAAUAGUGAUGCCAGAGUUCCACAUCAACCUCCUAAUAUCAAAGCAAACCUUCUAACAGACUAUCUAGUUUCUAAAUCAUUUGCAGUAAUAUUGUGGUGAUCAAAGAAGGGUUACAGCGGUUGAGGGCAGGCUGUGUUAGGACAAGUAAAAUAGUAAUAUGAAAAGAUGGUAAAUAAUGGGGUGAGAGAUAGUUUGAAUGGGAUAUUUCAUGUGUUCUUUGUGUCAUACGAAAAGAACUCAUGGUGGUCUUCAAAUAAUGCUGCUUUUGAGAGUUGAGAGGAUCAAUUAUAAUGAUGGUAAUUGAUUUGGAAAGAUGAUUGAUAAGGUUGAGAACAAAAAUCUGCACAAUUUCAUAAAAUUCAUAGGCAAAUCUGACCACUUCACAUAAUUCAAGGCAAAUUUGAUAGUUUUCCUUGUACAAAAGUCCUAUAUGUUGAAAAGCUUCCUCUGUUGGUACAUAAUGGCGUAUUUGAACCAAUCCUAUAACAAGGGUAUAUUUGGCCUCAACUACUAACAAAUGGCAAGUUUGAACAUUUUCCCUUCACAAAAUGAUCAAUCAGGUGUCAUUGGCUCAACAAUUCACUAUGGUAGCUUUGAAAGCAAUUGAUAUAUAGCCUCAAACUAUAAUAAAAACUGCAGUGAUGUAUGAUCACCAAGAAUGUUAGACCAUUUUCUAACUACUUUACAUCAACCGAACUGUUAAACAAGAUUUCACAAGUACAAUAGAUCAUGUUAAAACAUGAGCAACCAAAAAAACUUAUAGAAAAUGAACCUCAAACAGAAGAUUUGGAACCAUCUAGCAGUUCUCUGAGGUCCCAUUGGACGAAUCCAGUUCUGUCUUGCAUCUGUCUUUGAGGUCGGUCAGUGCAACUAAACUACCUUCCUGUAACAGAAAAAUGAAUACAUCAUCAGGUUCAUACUAACGCUGUUUAAUUGAGCUGGGAGGGGGUGGAGAGAGAAUUGGGGUUUGCAUGAGUGGGAAAGUGUUUGUGCAGAAAGUAAACAUGAUGCAACUAAGCAUCAUUUACAGAUUAAGUGCUUGCCUGAAGAGCAAGGUCAAUGUGGCAAGAUCAUGACCAACUACUCUAGUUUAACAUGGAGUAGCUUCCAUCAACUGAUAUUUGCAUUAACAAUGGUUCAAAGAAAUUAAAAAUCAGGAAUUAGACAAGGUUUUUAUUACUUCACUGCCAAAACAUGGCAUAUUGACAUGUCUUAAGCAUGCAUGUUUCUUUUGAGGGCAAGACCAAAUUGUUUAGGGCUAUGAAUAUAUACAAAUGAUGGAGCCAAAUAGCAAAAGAACAGAGAAUAAGAAACGGAACGGUGAAUCAAACAUUCAAUGGUGAAGUGAUACUCAUGUAUUAUAAAUGUGAUAUUUAUAUAACUUCUUUCAAAUUUUUUUCUUCUUUCAUUGAAUUCAUUAUAUCAAUGUAUCUAAGAAGCAUAAAUCAGGGUGGUGACUAAAAGAAAAUAAGUAACAAAACAUUAAUUGAAUGGACUUUCUAAUAUUCUCUCUAGUUGGCAGUUCACAAGUGCAACUACAUCUGUAAUCACUAUUUAUUGACAGAACAAAGUUUUCAGAGAAAUGGAAAGAACAUGAUCUCACAAACACUGAUAUGCUUAUUGAUGUUCUAACAAGUAAUCUCUGGCUACUGGUCCUGACAAACUCCACCAGGACAGUAAAUUAACAAAGAGACUGCUAUGAAUUACAACAUGGCUAAUAUGUCGGGUUGCAACUUGCAAGUAAUGUCAAUCCCCCAUUCCUCCGUGGGGGAUUGACAGAUUGGGAAUGUUCUAUUUUUCAGUAAAGAGGUAAAGAGACACUUACUGCUUCCUGUCUAUUAGUAACAAGACAACAUGAUUUUCAAAUUGAAUAUUGAACUUAGAUAAAACAUUUGCUCUGCACAUUUGUCAAAAUUUGAAGAUUACUUUUUGAGAAAGAAAAAAAAACCUCCAAACUUACGCAAAUGUUUGAAGAUUACUAAAAGAUAACAAUCUUCUAAUUUAUGAACCAUGUGCCCAUCAAAAGGCAAAACAUUUGCUCUGCCCAUUUGUCAAAGUUUGAAGAUUUACUUUUUGAGAAUGAAAAAAAAAUCUUCAAACUUUGGCGAAUACUUGAAGAUUACUAAAAGAUAGCAAUCUUCUAAUAUAUGAACAACGUUCCCAUCAAAAGGCAUACUGAUGGAACAAGUAUGUGUCCUCGACGUGAAUGAUCCAUCUAGUAUAAAAAUACAAUGCACCACACCAAAAGCUCUAACAAUGGGAGUUAACUUUGAUAAAGAAGAAUCUUUCAGCUUGAUGGUCAACAGAGAACAUUCAUCAGCUUGACAGCUUCACAACUCUCAGUUAUUAUAUGUAAAAGUUGAAUUGAGUAUCUAUACCAACUCAGAGACUGAACAGGUCAGUUAGCAAACUUACUAGCUGGUCAGCUUCCCGUUGAAAAAUGUGCUCCAUGUGUUGAAAGAGUGACUUCCAGUGACCCAUUAAACUUGACUCAAGAUUUGCUGCUUCAGUAUUCUUUUCUGGACCCUCCUUCUGAAGCUCUUUACCCUUGCCACUUCUUUCAACUAAAAGACUUGCUUCUCUCUGACUCUUCUUUAUGGCUAGGUAUUUGAAAACAGUAUUUGAGUAAAGAAAAGAAGCAAGGAGAAAAAGAACAAGGAUCUUAAGUUUAAUUAAGUAACUAAAAUAUUUUUAAGCUGACUCACCACUUAUCCGACCCUUGGUAUCCUGGUAAUGUAGGUCUAACCAUAUAUAAGCAGCUGAUUAUCACAGAACAAAGAAAACUAAAUCAACACUCCACUAAUAUGAACUGAAACAAGACGGGAUAUAAGCUCAGAAGGACAUUAAUCAAUAUAAUGGUCUGCGAGAUAUUUUUACCUUUGGUGCAAAAGGUACAAGAGCAAGCUUUGAUUGACUCAAUGCUAGCACUUAAACCUGAAUUAUCCUCACAAGUUUGUGUUCCUGUACAUGUCUCAAGUUUAACUCUUGACUCCUGUGAAUCUGGCAAUCUUGCCAAGUCUACUGACCCAGACUGACUCAUAACCAGAUUAUCAAGACCAAGUUCAUCGGGGCCAUUAGGAAACAUAUCCUCACUUUCAGUGCCCUCACUAUCGUCGUUAAUUUCACAACUCCGGGCAGCAUCAUGGUCAUCAGUUCCGGACAAUGCUGGCACUGGCACCCCAGUUACCAAACCAUCCAUAUCAUUUAUAACUUCAGAAUUUUUCUUUGGAAUUAUUUCCCGAUCAUUGACAAUUUCAAUAGCACUCCCACAAGCAUCAUUGUUCUCGUUGUUAUCUCCGAUUGUACUUUGGCAGAUAGCAGUAGCUGAAUCAACUCGCAACAAACUGGGAUCCUGGUUGUCAUUUGGUAUAUUUGAAAUCCCUGAUACAACAUCUACCUUUGAUGACUUAAUCUUGCUACAAGGCCGAGGACCAACACAAACACGUUUUGCAUUAUCUCCAUCAUCUACCAAAACAACUUUAACCCCUAGAUUUUCAUUUCCCUUAUCUACACACUUUAGACUUGAAUUCCCCAAAAGUGCAGAAAAUGGUCUCUUGUUUCCAAGCUGAUUCGUUAUAUUUCCCAAAACAGGACGACUUUUAGGACACCUUUCAACAGCAUUAUCUUCAUCCAUCCUGCAAUCACUAAUCCAACAUGAACCCUACCAACAAAAAUCAAUAUUUAGCCCUAAAACACAUAGAUUUCCAUGACCCAAUUCUCAAAUCUACUACAGUUGAUGAAAAAAUCUUAUAUUUGAUACAGACCAACAAUAAAAAUGAAAACUUGAUCACCUUAACACAUCUAAUCAAUACUAAUCACAGAAGCAGUAGCUACUGUACAAAUUAAAACCCUAGAGAAAAUUUGGGCAAAUAACAAAACUCAGAAGAAGAACAAAAUUAACAAACUUUAAUUGAAAUUAUAAUGUACCAAUCAUCAAUCAGGUUCUUGGAUACUAACCUUGAGAAAAGGAUUUAACACAAAAUCCAGAAAGAUUGAUAGAACCCAAUGUACAGUGUUGAAAUAAAAAAUUGAAUCUUGAAUUAUAUUAAAGCAUCUCCAUUGAUAAAGGUGGGUUCUUUUUCUCUUUGGUUACAGUGGAUUUGCUACACAGAAAUGAAAAUGGUGGAAGUAAAAAUUAAGUUUCAGCAAAUUUGUGGGGCGGGAAAUCGAAUUUUGGUAAAAUUAAGGGUCUUUAAGUUUUUGGCCCGCCUUGUAUGUUCAAAACCUAUUAACAAUGGGCGCGACUUUCUUACUUGGAGGGAAAAUGAUUGGGCCAUUAUUAUAGUAUAGCCCACAUUAUAUGGGCUGGAAAUUCAAUUGAAUCAUAUAGCUGAAUUCAUAGCAUAAAAUGGACCUAACUUACCACUAUUUGUUGAGAGUUCGGCAACAUGUAUUAUAUUAGGGCAAACUACAUCAAUCCCACUACAUUAGAUCCUAAUUGCUAUGAUUUUCGAUAGUUUCAAAUAUGAGUUUAUUUAUCAUAUUUCAUGCUUAGAAUACAUGACUCUGAAUCCACGAGAUACGUGUAUCUGUCAAAAUUUUAAACCGAGAUACAUAUUUUAUUUGUUUAAAUUAAUUGGUUGUAAUUGAUUUCCUUAAUUAGAGGAGUAAUUGAGGAUUUUCAUGAUACGUGAACAGUUAAUUCUGAAAAUUUAAAUUAAUCAAAUUUCUUAAUAUAAGGCGGAAAUCAAAGAGUGUAUCUAUGUUUAAUUAAUUUCAUUUUAUUAUUCUUUGAAAUAAUAAAUUCAUUAAUAGAACUGUUUAGUAUUAAUUUUGUGUAUUUGUUAUCUGUAUAUUGUAUUAAUUUGAUGUAUCUAGUAUCAAUUUCAUACGUUAUAUCCAAAAACAUGUAUCUCGAAUACACAGUAAGCAUAUACAUCUAAUUAUGUGUAUCUAUAUAUGAAAAAUAAUUGAAACACAUGAAUUUAGGAACAAAUCACAACUGCAAGUAUUUGUUGUAUCAUUAAUCCAAAAAAGGUAGAAAAAUUCAAAAUUCUUCCUUUUUUUUAGCAUCUGAAAUUGUUUUCUCAUAGAUGUAUAGUAUCAUAUGUUGCUCAUUGUGCUUAGAUCCGACGGACAUCCGUCAGAUCCAUCAAAAUUUCCACUUUUUCGUCCCUCCUACUAAUGAAGAUUUGAAGAAGGCCCUCAAGUAACGGAGAUAAAUUUGAGUCAACUGGAGAAGGGAACUGUUAGAGAGAAACCAUGACUAUAAUUUGGCAAGAAAAAAAUACAAAUAAACAACUAGGACAUAGCAUAAAUUUCCAUUAAAGUCAUCCUCUUUGCGGUAAAUUAUAUGAACUAUACUUGAUUCUUAGGAGUAAAAUGGUUGAUUAUUCGCUUAUUAGUGGAGGGAGAGAUGCUGAUAAGGUUGGAGAUUGAGGGAAGUUGAUAAGAGAGAAAAAUAUUUGAAUGUUAUUAAAAUGUUAAUUGUGGAAUUUAAAUAGAAAGAUAAUUAAUCAAUCCUUAUUUUAAGGGAUGAGUAUCUAAUUGUAUCUUCAAUAAUAUAAGGUAUAAAAUACUAAAAGUAGUAAUAUAUGUAAUUGUUUGAUAGUCGAUGUAAGAUUAGUAUAUAUGGUAGUGAUGUAUGUCUAAUAAGGUAGUUUAAUUUAUCCUUAUAUUACAGACUUAAUUGGCAUAAAAUAGUCUUACUUUGUAAUGUUUGCAUUAUAUAUUUAUAGAUAAACUACAUAAGUAGACAUACUUCAUUAUCAUAUAUUUUAUUAUUGACUAUUUUUUUUUAAAUAUUACGUGUCUUACCAUUAAUUAAGAGUUUCCUAUCAUACAUUGAGGAAUAUACAUUUAGAAACAUGUUUUUUGCUACCAGAUAUACUAAAAUAUGAAGGGAAGCGGGCAAGAUUUCGUUAUGUGUCCCAAAUAUAUGUGAAUCACAUUAGAUACAUAUAUUUAUAUGUAUCUGGUGUGAUUCGCAUGUAUCUGAGAUACCAUAUACAUAGAAGAGUGGUGAAGAGGGGCGAGGGAGAUGAGUGAAAUUUGUUAUAUACGCAAUGAUUUAUUAGUUUAAUCAUAUGAGUAUUAAUUAUGUAUAUCAAAAUACAUAAAUAUAUCGCACAAUAUUUACAAUGUAUUUGGUCAUAGUUGAAUAAUAUAAAUACAGUGAGAGACCUCUUUGAGGUGAAUUGUUGCACUUAUGUACUGAUAAAUUAUAUUUGAUUAGCUACAAUACAUUAUCUUGAUAUUUAAUUGUUAUACUGUUUAUUCUCUAAAAAACAUAUUAUAAUAAUAGUAAUAAGGUAUUGACAAUGUGUCUGGUGGCACACUUGUUAAUUGUUACUUGUCAUUUCAUUUGUAUACAAACUGUCAUAAGAUGAAAUAAAAAUAAACGUGUGUCCUAUUAAUUUUUAAGUACGUUUAAUACAACUUCAGGAAAAAAUAUUUUACUCAGUAUGAUUUUAAGGACUGAAUACAAUAUUGAAUAUAAUAUGCCAUUAUUCUUAGGCUAAAAUUGCUAAACAAAAUAUUGGGUAAAAAAUAUGUCAAUUUUACGUUAGUUCUUCAAAUUUUGAUUUUUCAGUAGUAUGUAUCAAUUUCUAAGUCUACUCCUUCAGUAUGCACCUAAUGAAAUGGGCUAUUUUUUUAAUUCAGAAUAAGUUAUUUUAAAUUUGUGUUUUAAAGUUUAAUCCAAAAUAGGCCUGAUUUCAUGCUUUUUGAAGUUUAAUCUUUUUAUCACCAAUGAAACUAAAUUGAGUGAUCAACUCUUUGAAAUUCUUUGUUGAUUAAGUCAAUUUUUUAUUUAUUAAAAUAAAAUUCAGUUUGCCAGUCUUUUAUACAAAAAAAAUAUUAAAUUGAAUGGUAAAUAAACCUUUACAAUCUGUGUAAAUGAUUAAGGAAACUUAACAAUAAUGUUGUUAGUGUAAGUGUGCAGAAACACGAUAUGCAACAAUAUGAAUUGUAUAAAAACACCUUAUAGAGCCUCCUUAGUGUUAGAAAUCUACCAAUGAAUUUUAAUUUUAAUUUUUAAUUUUACUAUUUCUUUUAGCAAUAUGAAUUGUAUAAAAAACACCUCAUUAGUAAAUAAAUAAUUUUAGUUUACUAUUUUUUUAGAAGAAAAUAAAAUUAAAAUUUUAUCACCAAAAUGAUCACUCAAUUCAAACUUGUAACCUCAUAGGUAAAAGAAACAAUUCAUAUAUGUUUUAAACUACUUAAUUGAGAGUUUAAUUAAUAUAAAUUCUUAAUAUAUUUUUUUUAUACUAUUAUAUCUAGGGGUGUGCAAAAAUCGAAUCGAUAAAAGUGUUAUUGGUUUAUUGUUAUUGGGUUAUUAGAUUAACGGGUUUUUCAUGGUUUUAUAAAAAAAUAUUGGGUUAUCGGUUCGGUAUUGAUUUUUUAAUAUUGGGUUAUUCGGUAAACCGAUAACCCAUUAAGAUAGACUAGUAAUUUACUACUUUUAUUUGUACAUAAAUAUUAUAUAUUAAUCUCAAUACCUUAAUUGUUAGAGUACUAUCUUUGUCCUUUAGCCUUCAAUUCACACUUCACAGUGACUUCGAGAUCACAAUUUCACAUUAUAUAAUAAAUGUUAAAAUCUAAAAUAAGAACCUUAUUCCUCUUAAUUUCUCUUUGUAUUACGCUUGUAUAGUUCUUUUCAUGUAUGUUACUAUUGUUUCUAUUUUAGGAGCAUUUGUAAAGUUACAUUAUUGUGUUUUCGCAUCAAAUUUAUUAGAAAAGUCAUAUAUUUGUUUUAUAAGUAUUUUCUUAUUGGUUAAACCGAAAACCGAACCGUUAAGGACCAAAACCGAUAAACCAAAAAUCGAUAAAAAAUAUCUUAUUGAUUUGGUUAUUGGUUUAACAUAUUUUAAAACUAAUAAACCGAACCGAACCGACCGAUGCACACCCCUAAAUUUAUAUCAUUUAAAAGAUAUUUAUAAAUAAAUAUUUAAUUUAUAAUCUCAAAAAAUGGGUCAAUCAUCUAUUAUAGUUAUGAUAUAAUAUUGUAAAAUACCUGGUAUAAUAGAUAAUAAAUACUCCUUCCGUCCAACAAUAGUUGUCGACUAUACUAUUUUGGGAUGUCCAACAAUACUUGUCCACUUUAUGAAAUCAAUGGAUAAUUUUACACUAAAUUCCUAAUUUACUCUUAUCAUUAAUUAUUGUCAUUUCCCUUUUACAUUUUUCAAAAUAUUGUAUUUAUUAUAUUCAAAGGGUGAUAUAGUAAAAUAACCAUUUUAUUUAUAGUUUCUUAACAAAUCAAUAAGUAAGUAUUGUUGGACAGGGGAUCGGAGUAUGAAGUAAUAUACAAAUUAAAAAUAAAUGAUCAUAAAAAAUACAAAGCAAAAAAUAAUAAAGAAUUUUAGUGUAACAUCAAAUUGAUCAAAUAGUGGUAUCACAUAUGAGCGCACAUUAUAUUCCGCAUCUCAAUAACUCAAAACAAGAAUGAUGUGUUUGCACAAUUUAUUUUUAGGGAGAAAUAGAGAAGUAUUUUUUUAAUUUGUUGACUCAUUCAUCCUUUCUUAUUCACUUUAUCUCCAAGACAAACUUCAGGGUUCAAUAAUGGUAGAAAUUAGGGAUACCAACUCAUGUUAUUUUCAUGCUUGCCUCAAGAACAUGAUCGUCCAAAAUUACAUUAACAAAUUUUCUAUUGUCAGUGGAGAUAUAAUGCACACUCAAAAAGAUAAUUAUGUUAGAAAAAAUUAUAUCUCUUAUUUUAUUUGAAAGAGAAUAUUAUUUUAUGUCCUAAAUUAUUUAUUCCUUAAAUAGCCUUAAUUAGUUAUUACUCCAAAUAAAUUAUUAAUGGCUCUAUUACAAUUAUGACAUAGACUUUAUUCUUCAUGAUGAUAAUGAGUCAUCAAUUCUUUACCAUUUUUGGAUUAUAAUCCAUUGGUCUCAACGCAUUAGAAGGUGAAGUGCUUUUUUUUUAUCUAUAAAUAUAGAAGUCUUUUCCUAUUGAAAAAGAUAAGUGAGAACAUGCCAAAAGAAAUUAUGCUCCUUCUUAAAUUUUAUUGCUAAGUUUUCUUUGGAUUAAAUUUUUGUCAGUUUUUGUGCUCCUAAUUUUAUAUUAUGAAAAUUUCCUAUAAUAUUCCUAAAGAAGUAUUUUCCGUAAGACUUUCAACAAAUUAAAAAUAUGUUAUUAAAUUUUGUAAGAAACUACUACAUAUAAGUGUAAAUUUACCGUCAACAAUCCUACCUAGUGUCCUAGAUGCUUGUUGUAACAUCCGUAACUUUUAGAAAAGGUUCGAAUCAUUUUCCAUAUGCAUAUAAAUCCGAUUUCGAUGGUUUCUAAUUUAUACAUGUGUUAAGAUCAAUUCCUAGUGUUGUAAGUGUAUUAGAUGUGAAUUAGAGUCAUAAGGAACAUCUAGCACUAAGUUGAGUUCAAAGUUUCUCUAUCAAUUAAGUUUUAUCAUGAGAUGAUGAAAGAGUCAACUCAAACGAUCAUAUCUCAUAGAAUAUGAAGAGUUAGGUAACUCAUAACCUAUCAAAUUAAAUGUCUAUGAGUUUUCUUUACAACACCACCAAUUGUUCAUUAAUUCGAGUUUGAAACAUAAAGUUAUGAUUGUUUUACUAAGACAUAUCCAAAAUGACUAUAAUAGUAACACCUAUCAAUUCAUAGAAUCGCCGAAUAAUUUAGCGUAUUGCCGAACUUGCAUAUUAUUUAAAGUCAAAACAAAAAGUCCUUUACUACAAGUAAGCUAAGCUAUUAAUCUAAUAUUGGAUAAAUAUUCAAACCCAAUAAUGAAAAACAAAGAGUUUCUCUUUUUCAAAUAAAAAAAUAAAACAAAUUUUCCAAGAAAAAAUGGCCAAAAAAAUACUCCAUUAGUCUUGAUUGACGACCAAUCCCAUCCAAAUCCCCAAUUCAUGAUUCACCCAUCCCUAUCCUUGAUCUACAUCGAAAGGCGCGCCAAAUAUAUCAACUUACCUCACUUUUCCUCCAAUGACAUACCUCCACGUGGCAUGCCCUUCGUGACUCCACGUCACACUAACGUUCCGUAUAAACUAUUUCAAUUCUUCUCCUAACCUCCUCUCAACAUUUCCAUUUUCGAACCUCCAUAACCAUAACACGUCUUCUUUCUCUCUCUACCUAUACAUACACAACUCUGUAUCUAUACAUUUACUGAUUUAUCGUUUUCGUUUCAAGAUUCCAUGGAGCUUCAACAGAUCAGCUCAAAGUGUCUCCAAAACAGUGAAGAAACGGCGGAAGUGGUGAACCGGCGAAUCAAUCUGCUGACGUUGCAUUUGAACCCGGUUCAGGACACCCCGGUUCAGGAAUUGGAGCUGCUAAGAUGCGCAGGGAAGAUGAAGGUGAUUAAGGUGAGCACGGAGACGCUGUCGGAGUACAUGAGAGGGAAACAUAGGGAUAUACAGGAAGAAGUAUUUGCUUACUUUAAUUCAAGACCGGAACUUCAAACACCGAUUGAGAUAUCGAAAGAUGAACAUAGGGAAUUGUGCAUGAAACAGCUUGUGGGUUUGGUAAGGGAAGGUGGAAUUAGGCCAUUUAGGUAUGUGGUUGACGAUCCGGCUAAGUAUUUUGCGAUUGCUGAAGCUGUGGGAAGCGUUGACAUGUCACUUGGCAUCAAAAUGGGUGUUCAGUACAGGUAAAAAAAUAAAUUCUCCUCACCGCCUUGACUUUAAUUUUGACAUAUUUUCACUAUUGAGGUCAAAUUUGUUUGUGAAAACAUUUUUCUUCUGGAAUCACACUGGUGGGUAUGUUGUUGAUGCCCGGAGUAACAGUUAUAUCUGUAAUUUGAGUUUAGAGUAGCACUGGUAUUUAUAUAUGUAAUUUGAAAUAUUAAUACGGAUUCAUAUUGCUGAUUUUGGGUUUUAGCUAGCCUCUGUUUUGUUUUUAUAGUUUCUCUUUUUCGGGGAGGAUUUAGAGGUCUGUGGAAUUUAGCCACUUAGGUGUAGUUGGUAUGAAACAGUUUGAUGCUAUGUGAAAAAUCAAUUAUUUUGUGCUGACUGCUGAUUAUAUACCAGUAAGAUCAUUUACAAGGACCAAUAGGAUCCAGAAAUAUGCCAAUAUGCAAAAUGUUUUCUUCCUUGCAGAAUGCAUUUGAUGAAGUUUCUGUAGAUCCUUUUGGGGUUCUAUAGCUUUAUUUGAGUUCAAGAGCAUGCAUAGAAACAAGAUAGAAAACCUUCCUUUUGAAUAAGAUUGUAUGGACCAAUCGGAUUCGUAUAUUCUCAGAGAAGAUAUUUCAUAGGAUUCUAGUCAAGACCUUGAUUGCUAUUUGAUGUUUAUCGAGGAAAGAUCUUCAGUAUAAGGCACAGACAAUGUUGUCGCUCCACUUUAGUAUACCAUAUCUCAGAUCUAAUCCGGAUCAGAUCAACUAUAGUGUUUCCUUCUUUAUUGCUAUUAUGUACAAAUGAUUUAAGUUCCUAGUAUAACUUAUGGCCAUGUUGCACCUAAUUGCCAACUUAUCAUCUAUGCAAGUAUGAGAAAGCUAGAAUUUGAUGCUUCUCAGAAUGCAUCAUUUCCAAACCUUAAGGUUGUUGGUGAUCAAGAGUACCCUAGUAAAACUUACAUACCAUAGGGUCUUCUUUUCUAAUCCUCCCUUUGUUACUGUAUGAUUCAACAUGGUGUAUUUUCUGUUCUAGUUGCAUCUUUUCCUGAAUCUCGAUUGCUAUAGCAACUAUGAUGGUAUCUUAUGUUUUGAGUUUCUCAUUAAUAGAGGUAAUAACGAAUUCUUAACGGAUUGGACUUUCAAUACAGUCUAUGGGGAGGUUCUGUUAUCAACUUGGGAACUAAAAAGCACAGAGACAAAUACUUUGACAGUAUAGACAAUGUGGACUACCCGGGAUGCUUUGCAAUGACGGAGCUUCAUCAUGGUAAAAUGUUUUGGACUACUACUUUUAUUCUUAUCGUUUCACUAUCAACUUCCAUUUUGAACUCCCUGGUCAAUGUCUAUGAUGUUUAUAUGUUCUUUGGUCGUGUGCACUACACGUACAGUUGUUUUAGCAAUUGAGUUAAGGGGGAUGAUGUUUGCGUAUAACAUACGUAGCUAAAGUAGUGAUAAAUACUUUACACAUCGGCUCAAUGCAUAUAACAAACGUUGGUAGGAAUUUGCAAGAUUAGGUUGUUCUGUACGUGUUUGUAUCCUUGACUUAUUUACAGCAUUAUGUUCCAAAGAAACAUUCAGAUCAUUUUUUCGUCCUCUUUUUCUAAAGGAAUAUUACGGAAUAUAAUUGGGAUAUCUGAACGUUGCAGAAUGUGGUUAGUAUUGUCCAGGCAGUUGAUGAAGUAUAUAUCAAUUAACAUCCAUAAGAAUGCCACUUAUUUGAAUCAAAACCAUUGCCAUAUAGUGCUGUUAUUUUGAUAAUUAGGACACUUGGAUUCAGUCUAAUCUACUUUGAUCCUUUUGCUCACCAGGUUCAAAUGUCCAAGGUCUUCAGACAGUUGCCACCUUUGAUCCACUCACAGAUGAAUUCAUAAUUGACACGCCAAAUGAUGGGGCUAUUAAAUGGUGGAUUGGUAAUGCUGCCGUUCAUGGGAAGUUUGCAACAGUUUUUGCAAGACUGAUGUUACCAACUCAUGAUACAAAAGGUGUUACUGACAUGGGUGUUCAUGCAUUUAUUGUUCCGAUAAGGGAUAUGAAAACCCACAAAACACUGCCAGGGGUUGAAAUACAUGAUUGUGGCCAUAAAGUUGGCUUGAAUGGAGUAGAUAAUGGUGCGUUGAGAUUCCGUUCAGUAAGAAUUCCACGAGAUAACCUUCUUAAUCGAUUUGGAGAUGUUUCACGGGAUGGGAGAUACACCAGCAGCCUGCCUACAAUUAGCAAAAGAUUUGCUGCCACACUUGGAGAACUUGUUGGUGGUAGAGUUGGCCUUGCGUAUUCAUCUGUGGGUGUUCUCAAGAUUGCUGUUGUUAUUGCAACAAGAUAUUCUCUUCUGCGCCAGCAAUUCGGUCCUCCUAAACAACCAGAAGUUAGUAUACUUGACUACCAAUCUCAGCAGCACAAGCUUAUGCCGAUGUUGGCUUCAACCUACGCAUUCCAUUUUGCCACACUUCAUCUGGUGGAAAAAUAUUCUGAAAUGAAGAAGUCUCAUGAUGAGGAACUGAUAGGGGACGUACAUGCACUUUCUGCAGGGCUUAAGGCCUAUAUCACUUCUUACACAGCAAAGUCAUUGAGCACAUGUAGAGAAGCUUGUGGUGGCCAUGGUUAUGCCGCUGUCAAUAGGUUUGGAAGUUUGAGGAAUGAUCAUGACAUAUUUCAGACAUUUGAGGGAGACAAUACUGUUCUUCUGCAGCAGGUUGAGAUUUGAGAUUUCAAGUCCAUUUCCUCUUGCAUACAAAAAGAACUGUUCUGUUUCUUAAUUAUUUUAAGCAAAAUAUGAUAAAGGGACAGGGUAUAACGACUGUUCUUAUGAUCCAGGUAGCCGGUCUUCUGUUGAAGCAGUACAGGGAGAAAUUCCAAGGUGGGACGCUCACUGUCACAUGGAACUACCUAAGACAAUCCAUGAAUUCUUACCUUGCUCAGCCUAACCCGGUAACUGCUAGAUGGGAAAGUGAAGAUCACUUACGCAAUCCUAACUUCCAGUUGGAUGCUUUUAGGGUGAGUAUUUUGUGGUCAAUCUGACAACAGUACAUAUUGGCAUACAACAGCAUUGUAUAUCUAACUAAUGUUGUAACUGCUCCUUUUCCAGUAUCGUACGUCAAGGUUGCUUCAAAGUGUAGCUAUCCGGCUUCAGAAGCACUCCAAGACUCUUGGAGGAUUUGGUGCUUGGAAUAGAUGUUUAAAUCACCUGUUGACACUUGCAGAGUCUCAUAUUGAAUCGUUCAUUCUUGAAAAGUUCAUUGAAGCAGUUAAAAAGUACUUUCCUAAUCACAGUUUGAGAAACUUUAUCUUUCCUUCAACUAGUAUUUAUCUAAUUCUCUCUUUUAUUUGCAGUUGUCCUGAUGAAAACUCUCGUGCUGCCUUAAAACUCGUGUGCGAUCUAUAUGCCUUGGAUAGAAUCUGGAAUGACAUAGGAACUUACCGCAAUGUGGACUACGUGGCCCCUAACAAAGCUAAGGUAUGAAUCUAGAGAAAAUUAGCUGGAUAUUUAGUCACUGUACUUCAUCUUUAUAUCUUGAAUUUAACACUAAAUGCAAAUUAAACCAUUCAAGAGUAUAGUACGCGACAUCAGAAUCUAAUUGCAGCUUUGCAGUUGAUAUGGUUCUUAAGGAUUAUUCUAUCUUGAUGACCCCAUUCAUCGUAGAUACUAUGACUUUUAGUAGUUUUAUUCUCUUAAAGAAUCUAGAUAACCAUAUAAAGUAAAUGACUCUUGGCAAAUAUGGUUAAUCUUAGAAGUUAAAUGAGCAAGUUAUAAAUUUUCGUUUAGUUAUAAUACUCUCUAGCCAGGUUGAUUCUCUUCUAUGCCUGACCAUCCACUUUUAAUUUCACAGGCAAUUCACAAGCUAGCAGAUUAUCUAUGCUUCCAAGUUAAGAAUAUCGCAAGGGAACUUGUUGAUGCCUUUGAUCUUCCAGAUUAUGUUACGCGUGCUCCAAUUGGUGUGCAGACUCCAUCAGAAGCUUAUACGCAGUAUACUCAGAAUGUUGGGUUCUAGCUUCUAACAGCUCUGAUUUUCAUUGUUCAAGAAGUUCCCCAUGGUCCUUAUAAGUAUACUUUGUAUCCCAUUAUUUAUCCUGAUGUCAAGCUUCCUGUAUCACUUUUAUCUUUGGUAAAGCAAGCUUGAGGAAUUCUUGUUGUAUUCACUUCUUGUCAACAAAUUCUAAUAGGUGAACUUGAUGUACUUGUCUCAACAUUAUAUAUGAAAUCAGAUCUGAAGGGGUGCUAUAUAUUAUAUUACAUCAAGCAUUUGCAUUAUUUAUGGUGGUUUCUAAAUAUAGUUAUUUCUGAUUAUUUGUUAUUUUAGAAAUAUAAAUAAAAUUAAUUGUUAUUUCUUCUUUUUUACCCUUGGUAGUAAUAUAGUUAUCUCAUUUCUAAAUCUUUCUUAAAUAUUCAUUUAAGAAAGAUUAUGUCUUAAAAUAAAAAUAAAAGAAAGAUAGUUAUAAAUUUCCUUAAUUAGUGUUUUUUAAGGGAGGUGUAAAAUAGAAACACUGAAAAUAAUUUGGAACGGAGGAGAACACUUCAAUUGAGGGAUAAAGGCAUAUAAAUAGAGUAAAUAUUUAGUAAAGAGAGACUAUAGUAAGAUAUGAAUAAGAAUCACUUUUUAAGAGACAUUAAAAAUAGAAAUACACCAGAUAAUUUGAGAUGGAGGGUUGUUGAGCAAAACAUAAGACAUUUAUAAGCUUCUUAAAGUCAUAUUCUUGACAAAUUUGUCAGCCCCAACAACAGCAGAAACUGCUCUGCAUUUAUUUUGGUAUUGACCAUUUGAGCUUAUUACAUUUUCCACUGCUGGACCAGUUGAAAUGGUUCACAUCCCACACCUACUUUAUAACAAUAAUAUAGGUAAGUGUAAUUUCAUAAUUGGAGUCCAAAAGGAGCAAAAUAUAAGCGGAUCUUACACCUAUCUUAUGGACGUAAAGAGACUCUGUCGGCUCAAGUACAGCAAGUCCCACACCUAUCUUUUUUUUCUAAAUUCGGAACUGCUGCAGCAUCCCUAGUCACUACAAAUUGAUCUCCACAUGAUGCAGCAGCUGCUGUUUUGCUAAUAACUUUUGACCUUGAUAAGAGCAAUAAUGUUUACUUUGAUAAGAAAUAUGUUAAAACAUAAUACUGAGACAACAGUUAGGAAGAGAGUUAACAACUCAUGAAAUGUUGCUGCCUUCACUACGUAGUUUUGAAAGCUCAUGCAUGAUGCAACUCGCAAGUAGAAUGGAUAUUUAAUCAUUAAACUGACUGAACAGUCUACUUUUUCAGUUAAAUUAGUAACCUAUUUUCCACCAAAAAGAGAAGGCAUAAUCUUCUUAGCCACUUUUGAUUUACAAUAACAUAUUUUCAUAAUGCAAUCAUAUACUAAAGGAUCUUGGUGCUGGUCGAUAGUUCAGAUAUGCAUUUCGAGCUGUAUCGCAUUUCUGCCUGAUAUCUUCACACAUCUUUAAAGAAGCCUCCGAGAACUUGGUCAGACGGUCCAGAACCUUUGUUAAACUCGAGUGAAUGCAAUUCAAAUUUGAUGACUUAUCAUCGUUCUUCUCUUCAUCUUUCACUUCCAAUUCCUCAUUCCCUGGUUCAGGAGUAGUUUCUUUCUUUUGCAGUUCCUCGGAGUGGUGUCCAACUGAAUGCCGCAGGUCAUACAAGAAUUCCUUGAUGGCAUCACUAAGCUCUUCAGAAGGCAGAGAUUUAAUCCCAGUGGACCAGUCACGACAAAGCACAAAUAUUGGUGGGGCUAAAACUCGUCGAGGGGAAAAUGCUCUUCUGCCUUUGGUUCGCUCACGUGGUUGCAGGAUGCAGUUUUGCAGCCAGCUGUUAAGAGCUUCCACAUAUGAAGUAUGGCUGUUAAUCCAGUUGGCAAAACUCAAGCCAAAGCACUCUACUUCAUCCUGCAGCCGACUCAUAAUCAGCUUUUGAGCAUCACCCUGGGGACUAGAAGCCGAAGCUUUGGCAUGGUAUGCUAGAGAAAUGGUUAUAUACUGAGCAUGAUGGCAUUCAAGCAUCGCUCUCCACAUUCUGAUCAAUCUGCAUGGAGCCCAGAUAUUACGAAUCUAAUAGUAAACAUAAUAGCAAACAUAAAAGGCAUGUGCAUGGACAGAUUACCCUAGAAAUGAGGUUCAAUAAAAUAGUUCCUCAAAUUAAAUAUCUAAUGGCAGGAAGAGUAAAAGAAUUGUUGUCCUUACCCUUGGAUAAGUUCCAAAAUUUGAGGCAACAACUCUUCAUCCCUCAUUUUCUCUAUCCGCUUUGAUAUUGAAUCAACUGAAUAUAGAGCCACCCUGAUGCGUGAAUGGAGAUCCUUCACCACUGACCGUGUUUUGUCAAUUAUUUGGGCACUAACAUCUUUGGCAAAUUGAUGCCUAAGUUGGUUACACUUCCGAUCAUAAUCUCUCCUGAUUGACUCAAUCGUCUACAAAUUAAAGAGGAUGACCAGCAAAUGAGCUUUGAAAUCACACAAAAGGAGAAAUUAUCUUCUAAAAUUACCACAAUAAUGACAUGCCCAUGAAAGGCUCUAUAGUUCAUCUCAUUUCCUCAAGAUUCAAUUCAAGAACAGUGAUGAGGUGUGAAAUACAACAAAACUAUGGAAGGUCCAGAAACCAAAAUGAAAAUGUAUCUUAUCAAUAUUAGUAUCAAUACUAAAAGAAAUUUCCGAAUUUCUGUCUUGUUUUCCACAUGGUAAUUUCCUCCAUAUAUACAAAUUUUCUGAACACCCACUCCGCAGAAAAGAAACAUUCUUCGAUUGGCUGUUAUCUAUUGGCACUAGUGAGAACUGGAGUAAAUGGAGCUCCUGAUCCAGAACAGCUUCUAAAAGAAGGAUUUUCCAGUAUAAAGCAACUGAAACUGACGGGACAGAUUGGUAGUUUGGAGUACUGCAGUAAGACAUGGACCUAAAAACCAAAUACUUUAUAAACAUAACUUAUUAAACAUCAUUUUUUAUGGAUAUAAAUAUAACUUGCUAAACGUUCUUGUUGUCAACCAGAUUCUGUCUUUAUCAAACAAAUAGGGAUUCUUAUGAAAGAGCAAUGCCACAACAACAACUGCACCAGCAGAAAGAUACAUUUUGACAUCAUCAAGGAGGAUAACAAGAGAUGGACUUCUAUGAAAGUGAAGCUCAAUGAUAAUGAAUAUGCUUUAGAAUGAAUAAAAGAAAUGUGCUCAGACACCUCAAGCAGAACAGAAUUUUGUCAAAAAAGGAAAAGUUGGAAGACAGGGUGUUUUCAUGUAUAUAAUGUGAAUGAGUAAUAUAGAAGACCCACAUGAAGUUUUGCAGUCCACCAAGAGGACAGAGAAAUUAAGGGGAAAAAAGUCCAACAGAUUUCAGCAUUUUGGAAUUUCUCAUUAACUUGGUAUUUCCAGAUCUCUGGUUAUAGAGCAAUGCAGCUAUCGGCCUACGUAAUACUCCUAGGGGAAGUCAAUAGGCUACACAUUGUGUAGUUUAGGAUGAACAACACCCAAGGUGUAGCCUACAGGUCAAUGAUGUGGGUUGAGACACAUGAGAUCUCAGGUUCAAAUUCUAGCAGAAAUAAAAACACACCAGGUGAUUUCUACUCGUCUGUCCAAGUAUUGGUGGACAGAGCUACCCAGUACUUGUGCUGGUAGGAGGUAGCAGGGACACGCUUAAUUAAUCUAAGUGCACACAAGCUGGCCCGAGUAUCACAAUUAUCAAUUGAAGGGUCAUUUCACCACAUGUUUCUCAGUAUACUCUUUGUCUAAUGUGUCAUUCAGCUACUAAAAUUAUCCUAGUUUGAUCAAGGCUACUAAAAUUUUCCUUAAUUCUCAAAUUCUGCAGUAUUUUACUCUAAACCAUUUUUAAAAAAAAGAAAGGUGUAUUUUACUCUAUAAACCAUAUUUAGCAACUAUUUCUUGGAAGUCUGCUUAUUAAUAUCUGAAGAUUCAGCUUUUAUUUGUAUUUGAAUUACUUGAGCUGUAAUUACAAGCUCCCUGAGCUAAUCCUGCACCAAUGUAAUAAUUCAAAAUAAUCAGGACACUCAACUUUCUAGGUCAGUACCUUCACUUCAUCAUAGAGUUUCCUCUCCCAUGCAUAUACUCUGUCAAGGGUGGAUGAGUGGCUUCCAGCUAUCAUACAAAAAUCUUCGACAAAAUCACUUCCACUAUCAUCAUUGUCAUCCUUGCUAUUAAGAGGAUUCCUUGAUGAAGAUGAUCUAGAGGAUGUGGUCCUCUUCCAGAUAAUCACCUUUGUUACAUGGUCUGCUUCUGCAUAGCACUAGAGUAUUAGAACAGCAAUGAACAGGAAAAAAGAGUAGAAAUGCUUUGAUCAACUAAAAUAUAAAAAGCAAAUGAUUCGUGAAAGACCUGCUUCAAUUCUUAGUGCUACUGUGCUAGCAAAUUUAUGAACUACAACCAAACUUGAAUUACAUAUUUCUAAAUACUAGGUGAUUUCUUCCCAUAGGUCCUAUCCUUGGUGGACAGAGUUACCUGGUACCUAUUAUUGGUGGGAGCUGGAAGUAUCCUGUGGAAUUAGUCGAGGUGCGCAAAAACAGGCACGAACACCAUGGUUAUUAAAAAAAAAAAAAAACUUACUCCAUGACAAUUUUUUUAACAUUAACUCCAUAAUCAAGUUUGUCCAGCAUUACUCCAAACAGGUUUGAUAGUUAAUUAUGCUUUUAGUUCCGUUAAUGGGUAGUUGUGAUUUAAAUCCCUAUGUUUGUGUUGUGUUUUUUUAGAUAAUAAAUCCCUAGAUUUGUUGGAGCACAUUAGGACUAGAAUUUCUUGAAUCGUGGACAUUUCAGCUUCGCCUUGGAUGGACGUAAAAAGUAAAUACUCUCUCCCUGUCUCAAACUCAAAUUUAUAUGAAGUUUUCUGAUUAGUGAUGCCCAUAACUGUUUGAAACCGUUCUAUAAAUAAUAUCUUUUAAAACAUUCACGAGUUUUUAGAGUUCACAUAUCAAAUUAAUAUCUUAAAACUCUGUACACCAUCACAAGCUAUAAAUUCUUUUUUGGAUAAUCGUGGUGUUCGGCCAACUUGGGCGCACCUUAACUAAUUUCACAGGGUACCUUCUAGCCAACACAGGUACUGGGUACCUCUACCCACCAAGGCUUGGACAAACGGGAAGAAAUAACCUAAUGUUUUUGUCUCCACUGGAAUUUGACCCAAGACAUCAUGGUCUCAACACACUUCAUUGACCACUAGGCCACACCCUUGGUCAAUAGCUUAGGACACCUCAGUGAUCUUCUCGGAGUAAACCAAAAGUUUAACCAAGGUAACUACCUCUGCAUCCCCAAGCUCCACCAUCCACUCACAACUCUUGCAUCCCCUCACCACAGCCUUCACUGUAUUUUUUCGCUCAAUUUUUUGUUCUCUCUUCUAACCUCUCUUAUCCUGCAGUCACACACAUUUCUCUUGCUUCCUUUCCUUUUCUUUCUAUUUCGAAUUUUCUACAUCCCUUUCUCCCUUCAAUAUGCUAUACAACACCGCUUAGCACCAAGACUACAACCCAAUUACUAUAGCCUUUACCACCAUCAACAAGGCAUCAACCCGUCCAUCAGCCACAGCUACUUGCAGUCACCACCAGCUUUCUCGCCCAUACUCAACAAUGCUCACACUCCUCCACCUACCCAAAGCCCCAACUAGCUCAAAGAAGGAAAGAGAAGGACAAGAAUUAUGUAGGACAACGACUCAGAUAUGACUUAAAAUGACCACGAAAGACCAAAGAGCCAUUUUCAAAACAAUUGUCUUGGAUGCAAGUGCUGCAAAGUUUCUCAACAGGCCUCUUAGUUAAAUCUGUCAACAUUCUGACUUAAACGCCCAUUUCAUCAAUAUUAAGGUUUACAGUGCUCCAAAAGUAAGAUCAACCUUUUUGCUUCAAGUAAGCUCAAAAUGUUGAUAAAAAUUUUACUAUUUUGCUCAUAGUAAAAGAAACUGUUUUGAAGGGAAAAGCCUACAAUAUCCAAUCUUUACAGCUCUAGUAAUUACAUGUUGAUGUGAUUAUCUCAUUAACACACAGCCUUCAUGAAGAAACCCCAAGUUUACUGCCUUUGGAGUAACACAAUUAAGUAAAAUCACAAAUUCUGCAAUCUAAAGCCUGAAUUUGGAUUUAUGUUUUUCCUCUUUUGAGGUUGUUUAUAUAAUGUUUAAUUAAAUAACCAAAUUGACAACUUUUAUAUGAAGACAUGAUUUAUUAAUUUGUUCAAUGAACUUACCACCAGCCAUGUUCUCACCCACUCUUCUGCAGCAACCUGAGCCCAUAGAAGACAAAUAGGCGGACACCGAAGAUUUUCCUGAAGAAGCAAUGUAUUAGCACUUGACCAUAGAUACCAAAAAACCAUGUGAAUUUCAGUAGGUAAAAUGAUGCAAAAACCAAAGUAAGCAAUAAAAGAGCAUUCUUUAAUGUCUCAAAGAGACAGUUACCUUUGGCCUCAGAAAACCCAACUCUGAUUUUGCUAGCUUCGAGCAUUCUUGAAAUCUCUUUUCCGGAUUCAGAUGCUCUAAAGAAUCGAUGUUCAAUGUCCUUUAUGCUAGAAAGAAAAUCUUUGGCUCUAUGAGUUAUGAACUCUGAAGGAUCCUCUCUUUCAUCCACUAAAGGCUUGUCUCCCUUUGAACCAGAUACUUGCAAGGCAGAUUUCCCAAUCGUAGUCCCAACUGAACCAUUUGCUUUCGGCUCACUGCUCACGUUAUUACCCUCACCACCAGCUACUUGCUGACUAUUAUUCUCAGCCCUCUUAGGCAUAACUGAACUAGAAUCAUGAAAUUCCAAUUUACCAUGACCAUUAUUGCUUCUAGGUUCAGAUUUAGGUGUCAAGAACUCUUCUUGAAUCCCAUUGUCACCCUCAUUAUCUUUUUCACCAAGUUCAUCAAAGUUCAGUUGCCUACCAUUAUGUGUAACAAACCUAAAGCUCUCAUUAUCUGUAGGGUCAAAAAAAUCCCAAGACCCUGAAUCUGGCGGUGGGGGUGGGGGUAAUGGGGUUAAGAAAUCAACAUCAUCUACAUACAUAUUGGUUGAAGGUGGACUCACCUUAACAGUGACAGCAGUAGGUCCAGCAGACCGCAUGUAACUCAACCUAGUAGCAAUAGGAGGUGAAAGGGGACUUCCAUUUAGAACAGGAGAAUCUGAAACCCCACCAACGUGAGAUGGUGAAGGUGAUGGAUACGACGAAUGUGACGGAGUUUUAUCAAGCUCAGUAGCUGAAGUUGAUAGAGAUGAUUCUAUCAACACUUCAGCCUCCGCAUAUCUCCUAAGAGCAAUGCCUAUAUUUCUCAAAGAUUCAACAUACGAAACAUGAGCAGCUGCUAGUGCAUACCUAGAAUCGACUGCUUGUUUUAUAAAUCUUUUCCUUUCUUUACACAAUCUCAGAGCUUCACUCCUCUCAGAUUUUGAGCUUGCCGCACCCAUUUAAACAAAGAAAAAAAGACAAUCAAAUCAAACCACCCACUUCCCUGAAUUGAACAUUUCCACCAUUAACACUGAUUUUCCCCCCAAAAACACUAAAACCCUAACACCAAACCCAAAACCCUUUUUUCAUCAAAACAGAUAAAAUGGAUAAAAGGGGUUCACACUCAUGUAAAAAACUGCAAAAAGAAAAAGAAACACUCGUAAAUCAGACCUCUUCAGUCGAAGAAACGAAACCCAAGUGAAGCUGAAGAAAAGCUCUAAAACAGAGGAGAGAGUGAAAAGCGAACAAAAUAGUAAUCUUUAAGCCCAAUAAAAAGGUAACCUGAAUCGAUUGGACAAUGAAAUGGAAACCAUUCAAUGAAAACAGAGCAUUCAGUUCAACUUUUUAAGCAAAGGGACCAUUACAGAAAUGAUGAGAAAAUAAGGUAGAAGAAGAAGCAGAAGAAGAAAGGAGGGAAUCCUGUACAGUGUUGAUGCAUUAGCCUCUCGGGAAGUGUGCUUGAAUGCUACUUUACGUUCCUUUCCUCUUUAUUCAUUCAUAAGAAAACGAAGAUUUAACAGGGGUUGAACAAUACUCGUUUAUUUGGUUCAAAACUUUAUGGUGAAAAAAGUACUACAAUUUUUUUAAAUGAAAGAAUUUAUUUAUUUUCUCCAUUUCAAUUUAUGUAAUAAAAUUUAUAUUUUAUAUUUAAUCAGAUUAUUUAUAAAAUUAUAGUCAUACAUAUAUUUAUGAUUAUUUUAUAUAAAUGACUUAUGUUAGACCACAAUUUUUAAGAAAGUAUAAUACUUUUUCAUCUCAAUUUAUGUGAUGUAGUUUGACUUGACAUAAAAUUUAAGAAAAAAAGACUUGUAAAAUUUAUGAUUUAAAAUAAGUCAAGAUACUUGUAUGAGUAUAAUUUGUAUCAUUAAGAAUAAUAUGACAUUUUAAAAUUAAAUUGUUACUAUUAAACAUAAAAUAUCUCAUUCUUUUUAAACGGAUUAAAAAUAAAAAUAAAUCGUGUAAACUAGAACAUAGAGUAUUAUAUCGUGAAAUAAGCCAUUGAAUAGUAGUUGGGAUAAUAAUUGAAAGAAAAUGGUUUAAGGAAUUUAUAACUCCAACAUAAUCUUUGUACUUAGCAAUAAUAUUUGUGAAUCAAAUUAGUAUUGUGUUUAACCAAUAGAUUAGAAAAGAAUGACUAAUGAGAAACAACAAAUAAAAUGAUUCAGUACAAGAUGACACAUUCACAAGGCUCCACAGUGUGGAAAGCAAUGGAUUUUUGCUUUGUUUCUGUUAGUUGAUCAUUUUAAUACAUUAAAAAAAAUAUUAAGUACUAAUUUUUUUAUAUUAUUCUUGUCAUUAUUUUUUUUAUGAAAAUAUUCACAUUUAUUUGUAAAUUAGCAAAAGACUUUUUAAGAGUUGAAUUAAUAAAAUUAUUUACUUAUUAAUGAUUUUUUAAAUAUCAUGUAAAAUAGAAAUUGUUCAAUUAAUAUAAAAUGGAGAGUAUUUGUGUGGGUGAUAUCUUUUGAACAGGAAAAGCCUUUGCACAUAUUGGCAACAAGCAUUCUUUUUGUACAAUCUGUGUCAGUCAAAUUAAUGAGUAAUUAAUUGCAUUGGCAAAUGUGAUUCUAUGACUAAACUACCCCCACUCUAACGGCUCCUUUUCUUUUCACUCUACUGUCUUUUGCUUCAGUUUUAUUUACUUUUACCUUCACAUUACUCCCUCCGUUCCAUUUCUUCACAUUACUCCCUCCGUUCCAUUUUAUGUGAGGUAAUUUGACUCGACACAAAGUUUAAGAAAGAAAGGAAGAUUUUUAAAACUUGUGAUCCAAAAUGAAUGAUAGAAAUUUGUGUGACUGUAAAUCAUUUCAUUAUGGGUAAAAUAGACAUUUUAUAGUUAAAUUAUUACUUAAUAUAAAAAUGUGUCACUCUUUUUGAGACUGACUAAAAAGAAAAGUAAAUCACAUAAAUUGAGACAGAGGGAGUAUUAUUUUUGGUUAAUUCAGAAAAAUUAAUCGAAAGGGAAAUAUCACUCAUUUUUUCAUUCUAAUUUAUAUGGAAAUUUGUUUUCAUUUUUCGUGAAAAUGAAGGUCACACACCCAAAACAUUUUAAACUCUAUAUAAAAGUACUUGGAUAUUAUAAUUAAACCUUUAUAUGUAAGCUCAUAAACUUUCGACGUGGAUUAAUGACAAUCAUAAAUAUAUAAAUAUACCACCAAAGUAGAGUAAUUUUAAUUGACCAGUAAAUUUUUUGCCUAAUAGAAGAAGGUAAUUACGUAGAGGAGACAAGUAUUAGUGGGGUAGAGCCCCUACUACGUGAGGUCGUAUAUUUUUUACACAGAAAAAGAAGUGCAAUUGAAUAUACAUUAGUGUAUAUUCCUUACAUUUUAAAAAUUAUCAAGUUUGGUUUUUUAAAAUUUAUUUAUUUAUUUAUUUUAGUUUAAUAUAGAAUAUUCCACUUAAUUUUUCUUUAAUAAAGUAUUUCUUUCUGGUCAUACUGAAGAUCUGAAUCUUACUUUUUUAGCCCUUGAGAAUAUAUUUCUAUGCAAUCUGAUCCUUUUGUCCCUUUAUUUAACAGAGUACUUCAAUGGUUUUAUAGAUUCUUAUGUGUAUGAUAAUGUAAAUUUUGAGAGAAUCUUACAUGUCAGGACCAAUUAAUUGGUUCAUAAUGGCGUGAUUAAGCAGCUAAAUCACCUUUUUAAUUUGUCUUAUGCUCAUUCAAUGGUUAGGUAAUUUACACUUAAGUACCUUAAAGUUCAUGGAUAUAUCAAUUAUCCUCACAACUUUUACCAAAGUUACAUUUUUUUGGUUUUGAAAUAGCCGUUAAAAAGGAUUAUUAUUAUUUUUGCAUUCUGUUAGUUGAAAGAUAAUUUUGAGUAAAAAAUAAAACUAACUCAUUUUGAAUAAUUGAAGAAUAUAUUUAUCCCUUUUCUCUCCUAUUAAUAUGAAAAGAAAUAAAAUAAAUAAUUUUUUAAUAAAAGAAGUGGUUAGAGGAGGAGCAGGGCGAAUUUUUUGCGGAUUUUGCGCAAAACAAAAAGAGGAAAUGGGCGCCUCUUCCCUCGUGCAAAUUACUUUAUUUUUUUGUUUCUUUCUUCCCCUUUUUCCUUUUCUUUUUGAGUCCCUUUUAUCCUUUUUGCCCCUUUGUAUAUCUUAUUUUGUUUUUUAAUUAUGUGUUUGAUAUUCGUAUUAAAAUUGGACCAAUUUGAAUUUACAUUGGGUGAGAUCAUUUGGAGGUACUGUUUUCUAUUAAAGUUUUUUUCACACUCAAAAUUUGAAAUCGAGAUUCCUGUUAGAGGAGAAGUAACUUCAUCCACCACAUCAAAAUAUGAUUGUAUAAUUCUUUUUUUUUGAAACUUUGGAGAAAUUCACCACUCUAUCCAAAGGUGCGUAUUGAAUAAAUCUAUGCGCUCGCAAAUUAUACAUUAGAUGCUAAUGUGAAUCACACGAACUCUAACUGAGAAGACUGCUAGUGACGAAAAUUGAUCAUCGAACCAACUCAGUCAAUCCACGUGAGUGUAUAAUUCAUUUUAACAAAUAGCCUAUUUUGCGAUCAAUAUUUUUGUUGUAAUUGAUACGGGUCCGAAAGAGAUGGUAAAGAAUGAAAAAACAAGUGUCAAUUUAUUUUUUACAAAUAGAAAAACUAAUUAACAAUAUAGCGGAAAAAUAGUUUUAAUUAUAAAAUAGCCGAAAGAAAUUAGUUUAAUUUUUUUUUUCUUUACACUAAAUAAUGAAAGAAAAAAAUAGAAUAAGAAUAAGAAACUCAAAUAAUGAUAAUCAAAGAAGUCAAAAAACAAUUUAUGUAUGAAAAGUAUACCUGAUACUUUACUAGAAGGAAUCAUAUAUGACCCUACAUGAUUUUUUUUCUUAAAAUUAAAAGUAAAAAAUAUAAAUUUAAAACUAACUUUUUUACUUCCGUUAGAUGAAGGAUAUAUACGAGUUUCUUUUGUAACGGUAGGGGUAUAUGUGAGUCAUUUUGUAUAACAGUAAGAGUAUAUACAAAUCGCUUUCAUAACGAGAGUUAUAUCAGCUCUAAAUGUCAAAAUUGAGGGUUAUAGUAUCUCUUAAAUGAGUAUUAAAAAAACAACGAGAAAAGGAUAAAAAUAAAAUAUGCUUAUAUAAAGGCUAAUUCAAUAUUUAAAGUUUAUGAGUUCCUAGAGUAACCUCAAGUAUAUGAAAUAAAUAUAAAAGUUAUUGAGUUCACAUGAACCAACCAUUUCAACCAAGCGUUUGAUCUCAACAACACGAGAAUGUUGUUUUUAACUUGAAAUCCCUAAAACAAACUUCAUGCUAAUUAUGCUUUCCCUCAUACGAUUUAUAACUUUGUCUUAAUACGAAACACGAGAUUAAUCAUCAGCUAAUCUAACAUAACAUGACUCACCUAACUUAAUUAUCAUGAAAAAAAAUCGUUUGCAUGCCACUUUUUGUUCUUUAUUUCAUUUCAAUUUCAAAACAUUAAUUGGUCAAUGUAGAUGUUCUACUGAUUUCAUUAGUGUUUGAACUAUCAUUAUGCAAUUUAAAAUAAUUUUUAGCUAUACGUACUCAUUGUUUUUCUCUAUAAAAAAAAUACUACUUUAGAAGUCACUGACAACAACAAUAAAAGAAAUUAGUCGAUUGGAAAGAAAUGAGUUCAGUAAAGAACAUGAAAUGACUGUACAAUUAUUUCGAUUUGAUCAUUUCAUUUUUUUUAAUCAAGUUGGUAUUUUAAAAUUUGAUUUUGGUAUUAUGUGAUAUGGAAAAUUGAUAAUCAUAGUUUGUUCGAUUUUGAUUUGUAUAUACAUUAGAACUAUGAUUUUGUCUUUUCAAGAAACAUUUCAAUUAUAUCAUACUAACACUUUAAAUAUGUAGAAAUAUUCAAGUUAAUUAAAUUUCUUUUGUUAAUCCAUUGCACAAAAAUUAAAAAAUAUUUCAAUUAAGAUAAAAUAGUGAAAGUUUUAAUGUCUAAAUAAUUAGUGUUGUACUAAUAUUAUUCUAUAUAUUUAUUAGAGAAAAUACAUAAAAUCCCCCAUGAACUUAGACGAACAACUUACUUUAGCACUUAAACAAUACAGGUGAUUAAAUAUCUCCUUUAACAUCUAUGAAGUGAAUUAAAUACAACCCUGAGAGUAACAUACCACUCUCACCUGGCACAUCAUAACCAUGUAAGCGCCACGUCACAACCAUGUAAGCACCACAUCAUUAAUUUUUUAUCUUUUUUUUUUUGCUUAUUCACCCUUUUUCUUAAACAUUUUUUAAAAUUCAUUACACUAAUCAAUUAAUUUAAAAUGCAUUUUAAAAUCAAAAUUGCCCCACCUUCUUCCACCCCUUCUCUUCUACGCCCCUGUCACGACCCAGACCGUUAUGAUUGGCACCCACACUAACUCUCUGGUGGGAAAACCAUUACUACUAACCAACUAACCCCAAAACUAAACAUUUAAAGAUACGGAAGCGGGUUUAAAUGCAGAAAUAAAAUGGAGUUCCCAUAAACUCUGAAGUUUUAACCAAAAUCACUACCAAACAUUGCGGAAAACCCCCUAGAAUCUAAAAGUCAAUGUACCAAAACUCUAAGUUCAACAAUGUCUAAGAAAAUGAGUGCAACCCAAACUAAACAUAAGAAUAUCUAAAGUACUAGUCUAAGUCCGAAUAGAAAUGGACUAAACAUAACGAGAACUCAUGGUAGCCUGGAAGGACUGACUCACCCUUGAAUUCGAUCUCGAUCAGUGAUCUCCUAAACGAGGUAUGUCUGUAGCCGCCUGAAGAUGCCUUGUACUCAACAAAGAAAGAGCAAGUGCAGUAUCAGUACACAACCACAGUGUACUGGUAGGAUCACAUGGCUAUUCAAGUAAGUGAAACAUACAUAAGCAGUUACAACAUAGUAAACACGCAUAUACCAUAUACAAUAUCAGUUAUCAUCUCAGGAUCAAUGUACAAUUCCAGAUUCUCAAUAAAACACAUGUAUGACAAGUCAAUGGUCCUCUCAUGGAACCCAUACCGAAACUGUUAGUGUGCCGGAUCGUGACACCCGAUCCAAGUUAGUGUGUCGGAACGUGACACCCGUUCCAAUAUGUAUGUCGGUAUGUGACAUCCGAUCCUAGUUAGUGUGUCGGAACGUGACACCCAAUCUAUUCAACAUGCCACAAUCACAAACACAAUGUACAUUCUCAUAAUCAUACAAUCAAGUGUUGAUUCAUGGCUUACAAUCAUUCAUUCAUACUCAUUUACAUUAGGUGUGAUUAAUAGUGCAACAUUCGCAUACAUACAUGCAUUACAAUGAAGCAAAUACUAACAUACAGCACACAAACAUGAAAUCAAACCAUCACCUACCUCGAAACCAAGCUUGAAUCCCCCUAAGACACUUGUAUAAUUCUUAAGAAAAAAAAAAACUAAAAACAUUAUAUGCAAUACUUUCGUUUUCAAAAAGAAAAAGAAAAGACAGAUAUCCUAUUUAUUUUUUCUAAUUCUUUUGAUAAAUUUCACUAUAUUUUAAUUUAUUAUUAUUAUUAAAAAGUGUCAAUUACUACUCUCUCCAUUCAUUUCUAUUAUGUAUUGUAAAAACUUAAAUGUCUCAAAAUUUAUUAUUCUACUUAUUCCUAACCUUUAUUGUAACUUUGAAGGCCUAAAUAUUUAACUCCAACCUUUCAUUUCUUCACGAAGAAUGAAAAAUCUAUAUGUAGCUAUAUAUUAUAUAAAACUAAAUAUUAAAAAAGUGAUUUGACACCUCUCUUUAGCCAAUGAUCCUAUUUAUUUUUUUAUUAUUGUAAUUUUCACUAUAUUUCUAUCUAUUAUUACUAUUAAAAAGUAUCAAUUAUUACUCCCUUCAUUAAUUUCUAUUAUUUAUUUUAAGAAUUUAAACAUCUCAAACUUUACUACUCCACUUAUUCCUAUUAUUUAUUGUAAAUUUAAAGGCAUAAAUAUUUAUCACUCAAAUAUUUUAUUUCUCCUUAAAGAAUGAAAAUUUAUUAAAAUAGAGUAGUCUAAUGAAAUAUCAUUUCAAAUAUAUUUUUAAAAAAAAUUAAACUACCAUACUAUUAUAACCUAUGAAUUUAAGGGUUUCAACCAAAAGAAAAAGCUCAUAUAAAUUUGAAGUAUUGUAAAUUAUAUUUCAUGAAGAGGUAAUUUAUAAACAAUAUCUCUUUAUAACCACUAAAAAAUUACUACUACAUGCAUGCAUUAUAAAGUUAUAAUUAAGAUUUAGACUAAUUAAUUAUUUCCUUUUAUAGUCAUGACAUUAAGAAUAUAGUAAAUUUUAUUUUCAAAUUUAUAAGUUUUUAAUUAAAUGAAAGUGAACUUUGUGUCAUAUUCUAAAAUUUUGAAUUAACUUACUUAAAACUUAUUAUAUAGCAAUAAGAUUUUUGAGAACAAGAACAAAUGUAUUAUAUCGCAUCAAAUGGUUAACAUUAUUAAAAGAAAAAUGAAAAUUCUUAUUACAUAUAUAUUCCCUACACAAGAUGUUUGACGAACAUUCAAAUUAGAUUUAGUCAUUUCAUUUCAGUACACAUAAAAUCUCUCAACUUAACUACUAUUUUCGUUUUGUGAUUGAGUUUGGAUAAUUCUUCUUUAGUCUUUUGCCAUAAUAUAAUCAAAUAAUAGGUGAUGAUAUACUAGCUACUUAAUUCACCAUAUAACCUCCUAAUAUCUCUCUUCAUUGUGUAAGUAUUUCAAUAGCAGGUUUAAGUUCAAUUCCAAGGCUUCCUAGCUAAUACUGUCAAUGACUUCUCUGUGCGGCAUUGGUUUGCCAUUAUGUUGAACCUAGAGGUAUUAUACUUGGUAAAAGAAUUGUGUAUAGUCAUUUUUUAAUAACUAAGUUGAAUAAAAAUUUCAAAAUAAUAAAUGUGUUUGAAUAUAUUUAUUUUAAUAAGUUGAAUCAAUAUUGAUCUCGGAAUGUAUGUAAAACUAGUGACAAAUUUUUUUGUUUAAUAUUUAUAUCUUGACAUGCAGAUCUUCCGUACAUCAUCUUCUUUGUUAUGAGUGAAAACUAAUUAAUAUUAAUAUAAGUAAUUGAUGUCACUUUUUAUCUAUCUUACUCAUUGUUUUGUUAAGAUAAAUUUAUCUAUCUUACUCAUUGUACACCUCUACUUUGCAACCAUCUAACUUGUAGAGAAGUGUUGAGAGAUAAAAGUUGUUUAGGUAAAAAAAAGGUACUUCAGUUUUUCUACCUAGUUUGUCAUAACUACUAGUCAAGUAGUUCGUUUUGAGUUAACUGAUGCUACUAUAUAAUGAUAUUAUUGACAUGCUAUGAAAUGAAUUUUAUUCAAAGAGUUUUCUUAUUCCUCGGACAUUCUUUAAAAUCUUGUUUACCAAUAUACUAUAUUUGACUUGUGUAAGUUUGAAGAGUUUAAAGAUCAUUGAUAAUUUUCAUUGAUACAUAUUUGAAAUAAACUCAAAUUUGAAACAUAAAUUUCAUGUAUCAUAAAGAAUAAACUUAUCAUCAAUUUAUUUAUAUAAAUUUUAACAAACCUAUUUAACAUUUACUUAAUAAUACACAAUUCAUUUUUCCAAAAUUUAAAACUUAUAUGAAUCCAUUUUUGAUAAAUUGAGAAUAAAAGCUCAGAUCAAGAAUUCAAACGGAGUUUUAUAACUAUAAAUCAAGUCAUAAUUCAUUAAUAUGUUAGAAAAUUUAUGCUUUUUGCUGAAUGAACUUUUUCCUUUUUUGUCAACUCUUUGAUUUCACUUUGCCACUUGAUAUAUUUAAAAUCACAAGAUUAAAUAACAUGCUGAUAUAUUAGUUUAAAAGAAAAUUGUAUGAAAUAACAAACUAUUAAUUCAAAUUAAAUGCUAUAACCAUAGUUUAUUUUAUUUGUAAUUCGCAGCAAACAUCCCAUUUUUUUGUCAUCUGAUUCGGUAUACAGUUAGCCAUUUUCGGUAUACAAUUAGCACUCGCUAUACAAAUGUAUAAAAUGCGUUUGUGUUUGUAUAAAACGAGAGAAAAAUGUAUAUACAAAUACAAAUACAUAUAUUUUCAUCAUAUACACUUAUAAUUAUACAAAUACAAAUCUUAUUAUACAAAUUACAAUGUAUAAAUGAAUUUAUACAAAACAGAACAAUUUGUAUAAAAUUGGAAGUAUCUAGCGAAUUAUACAAAUCAAAAGCUCCAUAGCAAACAUAAAAUUUGCUAUGGAGCGCAAUUAUACAAACUAUAGCUAUAACAUACAAAUAUGAUUUUUAUGUUUGCUAUAUAUGAAAGUUGCUCUAGUUUAAAUCCACAAGAUUGAGAUAAGUGUCAAACACACCUAAAAUAUUUUCAUUUUAUUUAGUGUCAUACCUAAACUAUUGGGAGAGUGAGUUUCAUACCUAAACCAUCACUUAUUAGUUUGAGAAACACACCUCAAUGGUGUGUGUGAUGCAUUGUCUUUUUUUAUUUGCAAAAAUCUUGCCAUGUGGCAUUUCACAUGGAUAAAAUAUUUCACCUUAUCAAAAAUUUAAUAAACUAUUAAUAUUAGUUAAAAGCUAAAAAUUAAAGUAUUCCUAUCCCAAAAUAAAAAGGAAAUUAUUUUUUUAAAAAUAAAAUUUAAAAUAUAUUUCUCACCCCACUCCACCACCUCCUUCCCACCCCGACAAACCCCCAGUUCUUUAUUUUUUAAAAUUUCUUUUGGAAAAUAUUUUUAAAAAAUUUAGACCUUACCCCUCCUCAGCCCCCUUUUUUUUAAAAAAAAUUCUACUCUACCCCAUCUAACCCCAGCUCCUAAUUUAUUUUUAUUUUUAUUUUUUACAUUUUUUUCGUUUUGUAUUAGAUAUGUACAUAUAUUUUUAGGAUUUUUAUGGGAAAAAAGACAAAUAUACCCUCGAACUUUCGUAAAUGGUAUCUAAAUAUCCCUCGUUAUACUUUUAGAAUGCUGAUGCCCCUAUCGUCUAAUUUUUGGAGCGUGUAUACCCUUUAGACUAACGAAGGGACACGUGUCAUGAUCUUUAACAACCUAUCAAAAUUAUUUAAUUUUUAUUUCCAAUUAAAUAAUCUGACCCGAAUAAUUAAAAACCCACCCAAAUAAUAUAAGGCCCACCCAAAUAAAUCCCAUUUUUCCAUUCUUCUCUAGUUCCAGCGACCAUACACCCCAAGAACCAGUUACCCAACAUCACUGCCGCAACUCCAUCUUCUCCGGCGAAGCUCCAUGUACAAAACCACCUCUAAUUGCUAUCGAACUCAACCUCCCUUGCUCUAGCGACGCUCCAACGAAAUCAGUGAGGCAUCGACCCUUCAUCCACUAUGAAACCUGACCACCACUCACCCAUCUCUCCCUCACUGCUGCUCUAACAAUUCUGGCGAAUCGAACCAACGACCUCCGGCGAAUCGAACCAGCGAACUCUGGCAAAUCGAACCCGAGGAGAAGUUGUUCGGUCCAGGAACCGUGUCUUCCCCACAACUCUGUGCCUCCUCCCUCUGCAACUACUACCAAUAUUCUUUUCCUAUUUGAUUGAAGACCUCUCACCUCUAGCUUAGGUCUCCAAAUUGUUGCCUCUCUAUAUAACAGUUCACAGAAACUGCUCAUGUUAUCUCCUCCUCAUGAGAACAUGAACACUUGCAUUGUUUCAUCAAAAUCAAUUACUACACACUGGACUGUGCGCUUUCUAUCUACCGCUUUCAUGUUCCACCAUUAGUUGGGUCUUAAAUUAUUUGGGAUUUAUUUGGGUGGGUCUUAAAUUAUUUGGGUGGGUUUAUAAUUAUUCGGAUCGGAUUAUUUAAUUGAAAAUAAAAAUUAGAUAAAUUUUUAAUAGGUUGUUAAGAUUGUGACAUGUGUCCCUCCGUUAGUCCAAAGGGUAUACACGCUCUAAAAAAUAGACGGUAGGGGCAUCAACUUUCUAAAAGUAUAACGAGGGGUAUUUAGAUACCAUUUACAAAAGUUUGGGGGUAUAAUUAUCCUUUUUCUUUGUUUUUUCUAUUUGUGUACUGAAUAUAGCAGAAGUAAAAAAAUUAUUUUUUAAAAGGUCUUGCGGCAAGUAUAUAUAUAUAACAAGGAACGAGAAAACAAUUUGGAAGUGGGGGUUAUGUGGGGUGGGGUAGAUUUUUUUUUUUUUUAAAAAUAAAAUACUAUCAUGAGGAGGGGAUGAAGUACGCUGAGAGGAAGUGAUGGAGUGGGAUAAAAAAAAAUAUUUUACAUUUUAUUUUAUAAUUUUUUUUGAGGGAAUAGUAAUACUUUAAUGGGAAAAUUGUAUAAAAUAACAAACUAUUAAUUCAAAUUAAAUGCUAUAACCACAGUUUCAUUUAAUUCCAAUCCGUAGCAUACACUUUGCCAUCGCCUCUCUCCUCAUAAAUCUCGCUCGCCACUCUCCCAGAUCUGGCUCGCCAAUCUCUCUCGCCUCUCUCACUUUAUACAAACACAAAUGUAUAAAUUGUGUUUCUGUUUGUAUUAAGCGAGAGAAAACUGUAUAUACAAAUACAUAUAUUUUCAUCGUAUACACUUAUAAUUAUACUAAUACAUAUUUUUCCUUACAAGUUCUCUUUUGCCUUUCUCUCUUUCUCACUUUAUACAAAUACAAAUUAUACAAAUUAUAAUGUACAAUUUGUGUUGUAUAAAGCGAGAGAGAGAGAGAGAGAUUUGAUAUACUAAAUUUUUUAUUUCGAUUCAGUUGUAUACAAAUUCAAAUUUUAUGCAAAUAUACAAACACAAUCAUUGAUACAUAUACAUAGUAGUUACAUAUAUACAAUUAUCUAACUGAUAUACAUAUACAAUUGAUGUGCUUUUAUACAAAAUGAGAUGUUGCCUGUGAUUUAUACAAAUCUGAUGCUCCAUAGCAAACAUAAAAGUUGCUAUGGAGCGUAAUUAUGCAAACUGUAGCCAUAACAUACAAAUAUGAUUUUUAUGUUUGAUAAACCUAAAAUUUACUCUACUUUAAUAUUUAAUUUUAACUAAUACUAAUAAUUUUUUAUUAUUUAUCGAGAUGAAAUAUUUUGUCCAUGUGGAGUGUGACUUGACAAUUUCUUUAAAUAAAAGAGAUAGUGUAUUACAGACACCAUAAUGAGAGUAUAAUAAAAGAGAGAUGUGUUUCUCAAACUAAUAAGUGAUAAUUUAGGUAUGAAACUCAUACUCUCAACAGUUUAGGUAUGAAACUAAAAAAAAGAAAAAAUAGUUUAUGUGUGUUUUUGACUCUUAUCUCCCACAAGAUUAAAAAAUAUUUCUUUAUUUUCUUAAACUCUUUGCAAGUCGAAACUAAGCAUGUUUAAAAUAUUUUUUUUGACAACUUUUUAAUUUUAAUUUUUCACCUGACAUAUUUAAAACCACAAGAUUAAAUGACAUUUUGAUACAUUCUACAUAUUUUUAGUUUAAGUCCAUAAAAUUCAAAAAAAAAUUCUUAUCCUUACAAAUCAAAACGAGACAAAUAAAUUGAAACAAGAGGAGUAUUAUCAAAUCAUGGUGUAAUAAUCCAUAAGUUACAACUCAAUCAAUAAAUUAAAUUCAAGAGUAAGUUUUUAUUGCAUGAUGCAAUGAUUACAUGGUCUUGGGGAUUUGUUACACUACAGUACCUCACCAAGCCUUUUUAUUUGUCCCACUUUGUUUACAUUCUCUGUUUUUCAAGACUUAGUAAAGAGUACAUCACCUCCAGUUUCUGGUAUUCUUUUUCUCAUUCCUUUUCUGCUUCAAAUGAAUGAUCAUCAUCCAUCCUCAUGCAUGCUUGUUUUGGCUAAAGUCUCUAUACAAAUAUUGCAAAUGGAUGAAUUUCUCUUGUUUAUGUAUAUUGCAUGUAUCACUUCUAAUGGCACAAAGCUUUUUUUUUUUCUCUUUAAGUUAAAACUCAGAGAAAGAUAUUUCAAAUGGGAAAAGAUUCAGAAAAAGAUGGGUUAAGGGUAACCAAGACCCCAGUAAAGCUAGAGGCUGAGUCCCACUUUCAACACAGUAAGCACAUUAUUAUCCUUGAUGUUAAUUAAUUUGAGACUUCAUGGAAUUAAUUAGUUUUCAAUUCCCCUGUCAUGUUGUUGUAUAUAAAAUACUAUUACUUCUCAACUUUAAUUGUUUCAAAUCACAUGCAUCAAAUGUUUUGAGUGUUUUAAUUGAUUAAAGACAAAAUACAUAAACAAACACUUAAAACUUGGCCUUAAUUGAUAAGUAGGCACUUCAAUUUUGAGUAUGCACAUUUGAACACUCUAACUUACAAAAUGAUUAUCUGAACACCUCCAUAAUUUAUGUGCCACGUCAGGGUUAGGUGUCCAUGAGACACAUUGACGACGGAUUGGAGUGUUUAGUUGCCAGUUGAGGUGUCUAACAGGGGCGGAGCCACCUUAUACUGAACCCCCUUCGACGAAAAAUUAUAUUAUUGAUAUAUGGUUAAAACAAUUUUUUAUGUUUAUAUGGUAGAUGUCGAACCCCCUUUAGCUAUUUCGUGUGUCUAUUUCUACAGAAUUUGAAUCCACUUAUUGAAAAUCCUGGCUCCGCCACUACUGUCUAGGUGUGUACUUUCAGAGUUGGAGUACUUAUAUUACUUGACUGCUGUGGCCAAGUUUGAAUGUCUGUUUAUGUAUUAUGUCAUUGAUGAGUUCUUGAUUGGUUAGUUGUAGCAUUGUUGUUGUUGUUUUCUUUUGGUGUUUCAUCAGUUCAAUGUGUUUAGUUACAUAGUAAAUGUCUUUUUUUCCACAGAUAAUAGUUAUUGGCUUCGACCAAGGAAAGGAAAGGAGAUAUUUAGUUCGGAAGCAGGUGAUUAAUCAAAUAAGUUCGAAAGGUUCUGUACUAUCGUUGGGAUUAUGUUAUUCUGCUUUACUAAUUAAGAGCAUUUUGACAGUUAAAAGGUACUUUCUUCGUCAACGGAAAAUAGUAAAGGAAAGGCUUAGCUUGGGUGCAGGUAAUGACUUCAAUUGUGAUUUGCUUAAUGAACCAAGAUUUUGUGCUUGAUGAUUAAGUAUCUCAACAUUGAGCUUGUUCCUAAUAUCGACAUAUCGUUUCUGUUGGAGAAUAUUACUGAGUUAUUUUCCAGCAGAUAAUGAAGAAAAAGACAGAUACAAAGGCUCGAAAAAAUGCUCAUCAAAAAAGCUUGGUUCAUUAUCAGUUCCUUCCAAGACUCUCCAAGUAAAAGUUUUCCCCUAUUCAUCACUGUGGAUCCUGCAUUUGUUUCACUGUCGUAUGCUAUUACUCUCCGUUGCAGGUGUACCAUAGAAGACGUAACAAGUGUGAAAAAGUUCAACCAUUAAUCAUUGAAGGGCAUAACAAGCCUGUCCAGGCAAAUGAUUCUACUACAAAUGUUGUUCCACUGUCAUCUUCUCAUCCAAACUAUGCUACUAACUAUCCGUUGCAGGUGUACAAUCGACGAUUUAAGAAGAACCAGAGAUAUAACAAGUGCAAAACAGUUGAGCCAUCCUUUCAGGAAGGGCAGAACAAGAAGCGGAAAACAUCAACAGCUUCUACUACCAAAGGUAAUGAAGACAGUGAUUUGCGUGGUUAUACAACUUACUUGGAUUUAUAAUGUGACAUAACAUUUAACAAGAAAUUAUAUAUUUCCUUUGAUGCAACUUUUUAAAGGUUUAAAGGAUAGUCCUCACAAGAAACCAAGGCUUCAAGAAUCUAGCAGUAAAAGUGGACUCAUAGUGAAACAUAAUAAGAAUUCUCAAAUCAAUCACAACAAGAAAGAUGCACAAGUUCCAACCAAUGAAACACCUAGUGACACAGACAAAAUGAUCUUGAGAACAAAAGUAAUCCUUGAUGAGGAGACGAUACGAGAAUGGAAAUUUCUGAUGGAAAAACCGGAACACAAAGGUUGCAAAUCUGAAAAGUGUGAUCAAAGAUGGGAAAUCGAGAGGACAUUGUUCCAUGGACGGGUGAUAUCAUUCAUUUCUCGCAUGCAUCUUAUUCAAGGUAUCAUUUUAUUAUUGUAUUUUAAUUAAGAUUUUCUAUGACUCUUUCCUUCAUUAAACUCAGUAUCAAACUAUGAUCUAAUUAUUUUCUUGUAUGCAACUCUGAAAGUCACAAAUGUACAUAGCAUAUGAAAACAAUAGCAAAUAUGUAACUCCACCAAUUCAAGAAAACAGAAAUAUCAUAGAAGUUUGGCAAACUAGCACAUGUUCAUAAAGUGAAGCCACCAGAAAACUUUAGAGCAUUAUAGAAAGAUCACUCUAGCAUACCAAAUGCAAGCAGAAAAACUACUGCCAACUGUUUGUAACGUACACCUUGCACAAAGAAUUCAUCGAGAACAUCAUCAAAGCAAAACUAUAUCUCCAAAGAUGAAAACACUGUUACUCAUUAAAGACUCAUCUUUUGAAGUAUCAAAAUGCCUGUUUAUGCAUCACUUGAUAUGACCACAACUCCACAAGUUCACGUGUUUCUUGGAAAUUUCUCUCAGUGAAAGUCUAACUAAGGCUCUGAUUAUAAUCUUUUCCGGCUUUUAGUGUUUCCCUAUGAAUAAAAUAUGACAAGAACCAGGUAAAUGUAAUUUGUAGAUGUUAAAGAAUGGUAUCUGCAACGAGAGUACUUCUUUAUCAGCAUAAGUAAGAUAACAAUGAGCAAACAUUUCAUUUUCUUUCAUUAUCAUGUAAAGAGAAUAUGUUUAGUCGGUGUCUUCACGAAGAUAUAACUGAGGGCAGAUUAUAUAUUGACAGGUAAUAGACAGUUCUCUCAGUGGAAAGGUUCAAUUGUAGAUUCUGUGGCUGGGGUUUUCCUGGCUCAAAAUGUCGCAGACAACUUAUCGAGGUAUUGAAGAUUGUAUGCAAGGAACUUUUCACAACUGACUAUUAAUGUGUUCAUUAAGAAUCUGAAUAGUAAUCUCAAUUUUUCUAUGCUGAUGCAUUUGCAGCUCUGCUUUCAUGUCCCUUGCUGCUCAAUAUCCUUGUAAUGAAGUCAGAUUCAAAUCAACAUUCCACAACGGAAAUGGGACGAAGCUGGAGAAAUCUUCAAAAGGAAGUUCUAAUAUUAAGAACCAGGGGAUAAUCCGAAGAACAAAUCCGAAAAGGGGUGCGAAGAAAAAGGAGACCAGAAAUCAGCAAUCUGAACCAAUCUUAAGAAGGAAAAGUCAGAAUGCAGACUUGGAAAGUGAAGCCAUUGAAUGGGAAAAUAUGAGGAAGUCAUCUUCAUUUGUUAAUCCCAAAGAGAGAAAUGAUAGCACGUUAGAUGCCAUUGAUUGGCAUGCAGUCCACGCUGCAACAGCGGAUCAAGUAUCGAAAGCUAUCAUGCAAAGGGGAAUGGACAAAAAGCUUGCACUAAGAAUUAAGGUUAACAAAGUUUGGCUAAGAAUUACUCGGCAAUCAAUCAGCAUUGUAAUAAACUAACUGCUCACUACAUGCAGAAUUUUAUCAACCGCCUGAUCCUGGAACAGGGGAAUGUGGAUCUAGAAUGGCUACGAGAAGUUGAACCAGAAAAGGCUAAGUAAUGUCUGCACUAUCUUUUUGUAUGAAUUCGAAAAAUUUGGAUAGUUGGUGAGAUAGGAAACACAUAAGUUAACUGAGAUUUGACAGUGUAGUUGAUCGAGAAAUCUGUUUCUUGCAGGGAGUACUUACUGAGCAUUUAUGGUUUGGGAGUGAAAAGUGUGGAAUGCAUAAGGUUGCUAACUCUCCAACACCAAGCCUUCCCAGUAAGUUUAUAUCGUAAAAAUGUGUUAAUGUGGUCUCUGAGCUUUAUCAUUAACACUCAUUAUUUCAUUAGGUUGAUACAAAUGUAGGACGAGUACUCGUACGACUGGGUUGGAUACCUAUUCAACCACUUCCAAGAGGACAAGAGAUGCAUCUUUUGAAUAUGUAAGAAUUUGGAUUUAUCAGCUGAUGCUGUCAAAUUUUCAUUUUGCAAGUUUUUAUCCAUGAUCCUGAAUGUCAUACUUUAGGUAUCCGGACGUCAAAGAUGUUCACAAGUAUCUCUGGCCACGGUUAUGCACACUCAAUUAUCUAACACUGUAAGGAUCGACUUGAGAAAAGCUCACCUUCAGACUUAAAGAUAUAUACUCUUAAUUUAAUAUUUGAUUAUUCUGAUAGAAUAUUAGUGACAAUCAUUCUGUAUUCCUUUGUGGUUGCUUGUAGAUAUGAAUUUCAUCAUCAGAUGAUUACCUUCGGAAAGGUUUGUUAGUUUUCAUUAAUAUUAAAUUGCUUUUCUUGAUAUUUUGGGACUGUAAUUUGUUUGCACACAGGUAUUCUGUACAAAAUCAAGCCCAAAUUGUAAUGCAUGUCCAAUGAAAGCAGAAUGUAGACACUUUGCAAGUGCUUUUACAAGGUUUUCUCUUGCUGAAAUUACCCAUAUAUUAUAUCUUUCUACAGUUGAUGCUUCUAAGUAUAUACUUCCAGAUAAACUUAAUAAUAGUUCUUCGUUCUCUUUGAAAUUAUUGCGAUGAUCUUCUUGUGGAACAUUCAGAAAUUAAAUCAGCUUGAUAGAAAUAUGUAGAAACAGUACAAUAUUCUCUUCCUAAGUAAAUCUAUUGAACAUUAAUGCAGUGCAAGACUUCCCCCGGGGCCAGGGGAAAACAGCUCUGCAAACGUUGAUACUGCUUUAGUACCAGUAGACAGUGCAUGCUCAUGUGCUGACAGUUCUCAAGCACAGCUUGUUUCUUCUUUCGGGGAAGCCUUGAAUUCGCAACAUUCAACGGGAGAUCACCAGAAUGAGCUCAUAACCUAUCCAGCACUUGAAUGUAUUGGAGAAACAGAUAUUGAAGAUUAUUGUGCCAGUGACAUACCUACCAUCACGUUUGAUAGCCAGGCAUUCAUGGAAAAUUUGUUAAGUUACAUAGAUGAGAAUGAUCUCUCAACAAAAGACACUGAUUUGUCUAAAGCUUUGGUCAUCGCCACUCAAGAAGCACCACUGCCUAAAUUGAAGCAUAUGGGUCGAUUAAGGACGGAGCACCAAGUGUAAGUUUUGUAAUAAGUUUCAUUUAUUUUCACCAUUUAAAUGACAUUACUUGGGAAGUCUAUGUGUGCACAUUAAGAAUCUUAUUAUUGAGCUGAAAAAUGGAUAUAAGAAAGUAUUUCUGCAAUAAUGUUAUAUUGGAAGAAGUUUCGUGCAACAAAGGGGAAGCACAUUCUAGAAGAUUGCGAAGAAAAUGGUGAAGUGUUUAAAUAAUUGCUCAUUAACAUUUAUUUCUUCUACGUGCUGCAGCUAUGAACUUCCAGAUUCACAUCCUCUGUUAGAAGGGGUAAGUCAGGUUACCAACAUGAAUGAAAUGAUUUAUUUAUCAUGCCUUUUGAUUUGAUGAAGUUGACUAAUGCUUAUGAAUGCAGCUAGAGAAACGAGAACCGGAAGACCCUUGCCCAUAUCUACUUGCUAUAAGGACACCAGGUCAUUGCUUCCCAAAAAUUUAUAUUCUUGAAUGGACUAAAUUUCUAUAAAAAAAGAGCACAAAAAUGUGGUCUAUGCAGGAUAAUCACAGUGAACUCACACUUCUGUACCGUACAUGAAAUGCAGCUUCAGAAGAACCUACAAAAGAGAAGUGUGAAUCCUGUAAUUGCGAUGAAACUCAAAACAAGAUCAAUGCAUCAAAUGUAGGCACAGGAAACAAUAUUGAGACUGUUAGUGGGACACUUUUGGUGAGAUUUUUUUUUAGGACUUAAUGAUUUCUCCUGGAUUGGGAUAUCAGAUAUCUCGUGUUUGUAAAACUUUUCACAUUCUAAUUUAUUUGGAUAGUUAUUUAUCCAGUAGAAACUAACUCAUAAGAUCAUCUUCAGAUUCCGUGUCGAACAGCAAAUAAGGGAAGAUUUCCACUCAAUGGAACAUACUUCCAAGUAAAUGAGGUGAAUUUUACUUUCUAUUCUUCAUUUCAUGCCAAUACAGUAAUGAAUUCAGUCAUGCAUCCAUUUCACAUCUAACUCUUUAAUGAAUUUGUUUGAGAAAUACUAAUAAUGUGAUUUACGCAGGUUUUUGCAGAUGAAGAGUCCACUCAACAACCAAUUGAAGUUCCAAGGGCAUGUAUAUGGAAUUUGCCAAGAAAGACCCUAUACUGUGGCACCUCCAUCAGAGCAAUAUUUAGAGGUAAAGACACAAUAGCUGUUUAAUUAAAUAGCCGAAAAUGCCAAAAAUUGGAUAAUUCUAUAUUAUAAAGUACAUGGGCGGAGACACCUUAGGUGUAGGGUGGUCCGGUGCAUACCCUACUCCAACAAAUUAUGUGUUGUAUAGAGGUGAAAUGUUAGUUAUUAUGUGUGUAUAUUUAAUUUUGCACACCCUCAACACAACUGAGAAGAAAGUUUGCACGCCCUUCCUCAAAUUCCCAACUCCGCCACUGACAAAGUGUCUUUUGUGAAUUCAGGGAUGUCCACAAAAGAAGUACAGAAUUGCUUUUGGAGAGGUAUGAACUGAUCUCUUUCAUAUAUAAUUGCAUCAAUUAUUUGCCACAGUUUCCAUCCUGAUAAAUGUUAGUAUAUCUUUUUCAUUAGUAUUCAACAUUCUUAUGAGAACUACCAACAAAUUUUACUAAAAACAGAAAAUAUAGAUCAUAUAUAUACUAAGAGACAUGAUCUUGUGUUUAUAACAACAUAUAUGGCAAUUAAAGAGGUACAUAUAUAAUACUUAGUAUGUAAAUAAUUAAGAUCUUACAUUGUCUAUAUGUAAAUAAAAUUUUACCCUAGCUAAACAAUGUACGUAUUACAUAUGCAACUGAAUUCACUUUUCUCAAGUAUUGCAGGAUAUGUAUGUCUGAGAGGCUUUAACCGUGAAACACGAAUACCUGGAUCUCUUCCCCUUGACCUUCAUCGUCCAAUAAGCAAGUCAGGAAAAGCAAAAAGGUUUUGAGAAUGAAAAUUGUGUACACUUUUUUGUCAAUUACACCACUUGAAUUAAGCACAGUACUAUAUGUGCCUUUUGUUUUUGUUCCCAUGCAUGCAUUUCCAAAAGUUGUAAAUUUUUUGACAUCUCAUGUCAUUCCUGUUAGGGAGUGCUAGUUUAGUUAAGAGUAAAAUGAAAAUUUAAAGCAUGUUAUCACUCCGUUCAAUGUUAUUAAUUUCAAAAUUAUACUGGAAAUGUAAACAAAAUAUAAAAGUUAGAAUAGUAAUUAAGUUCCAAGUCCAACAAAUUAAAAGAUUGUGUUUCUUUAAUCCCCUCACGAUUGUUCAAGAUUUUAGAUUAAUUCUCUCAAGAUGUAACACUAUUCUGCAAUAUUGACAUACAAUAGAAAUUCUAAAAGUUCAGGCAACUCAACAAACGGAACAUAUCACACGAUACUUAUUUUUACUUUUGAAAAAAUGGUGUAGAAAUGAUGAGAAGAAGAAGAGUUUUCUAUUUGUUUUUGUGUCUGAAAAAUGAGGCGAAAUCUUUGAAAAUUUAUAGCAGAGAAACAAGUGCAAAGAUACUUGUUCUUGAAGAAGGUAUUUUUUGUUUGGUCGUGCAUCAGAAAUGACUAGUGGAAAAAAAAUUCUGCAAAUUUAAAUUUGAAAAUUCCACGUGAAAUAAUAUCGCCAAAAGGAAAAUUAUAACAAAAAAAAAACCAUAAAUUUGGUCAAAAAAAUAAUCACAAUCAAAUCAUUUGACCAAAUUCAAAAUCAAAGUCGAAGUUGAGCCAAGCACGAGGGAAGACUCAACAAUGCCCUACCCCAUUAUUCAGUGGCGUAGCCACAUAUCGGACACCCUUUGUCAAAAAAUUAUAAUAUACAUAUAAAAAUUUGUCUAAAGUAUAUAGUUCAAAAAUUAAUUUUCACACAUAUAUAUUAAAUCUUGAAUAUUCUUAACGAAAUUUCUGACUUCGACACUGUCUCUAUUGACAAUAUUGUUAAUUUGCUACCAUUGUCUUGGAAAAAUUGAAGUCAAGACUCGUGAAUAUGAAAGUGGUCAAUUCACAACACUAUAAUGUUAGAGUUUAUGGAAUUUAGGCAUUUUACAAAAUUUUAUCAUUAAUCUGUCAUUUAUAUGCAAUAAAAUAUAAUAGCAGGUAGAAGUGGACAUGCUAUGCACAGAACCGCAUGGCCAAACCAACAAGUUUUAUGCCGAAAACUUGCAAUUGAGCUUUGUCCUCCACUAUACUGACUGUUUUUUUGUUUUUUGUUUACCUCAUUUUAGGAGCUUCCAUAUUUUUUUUCGGAUAUUGAUAAUUCGAACUCACAAUUUUAAGAUGGAGGUAGAGAUACUUACCCAUCAAUAAUCAUCAUAGUGUUAAAUCUUCGUGACUAUGCUGAUCUAAGGGCUCGAGUGCCAAAUUAGCUUCCUAUCAUUUUUUUUGUAUGAAUUUUUUUUUUAUAACUUCUAGUUUGAUUUUUAAAAAUAUUUUAAUAAAAAAUCGUCAAUCCAAACGCCUACUUAAUUUUUACACUUCUUUAUUUUUUUUAGAUUUCUCACGAGCAUUUAUAGAUAAAUAAUAAAUCUCUACGAGUCAAAGAAAUCUGAAUGAAACUAACGAUCGAUAUUAAAUGUUUCAUUUUUCUUAGCAUUAAUGGUAUAGCACAUCUCAUAUUAUUUUCUUGAAAACUAUAUUUUAGUUACAUUUUAUUAAGAUUUUAAAAAAUAUUUAAAGCACAAAUUUUAUGUUUAUGUUAUGAAGAUUUUAUUGAAGGAAACAAAAAAUUGAAAAUUCAAUUUUUUUUUGAAUAAUCUGAGAAAAAUUGAUAUAAAACAAUAUUUGUUCUUUAUUUUAACUUUUUUUUUAUAAACAUAGUUAAUUUAUUUUGAUAAUUGACGUGAAGCUGACGUAUGUGCUCCCCUAAUAUAAUAAUAUUGGUGGCUCAUCACAAACUCACAAUUUUCAACACUUCCGUUGCAAGAAUUGUUUUUAGAGUCCAUAUAGUUUUUUUUUUUAAAAAAAAAAUCAUAAGCGGGACUUGCGAUCAUGGAGAAGAAUUGACGUCCUCACUCCCAGUACCAUUAGAUGUUCUACCAGUACCACUUGAUUGAUCAACAGUUCAUUUGCCAUUAUAAAUCAAAUUUGAUAUACGUAUUUCAACACUUUUAGCAGAAGAAAAUAGGAGAUCGAUGCAAUCACAAUCUCAAAUCGAAGAACAAUUUCUUGAAUUCGACAAAAGCAAAAGAAGAAGAAGAAAAUUACAGUGUGUAUGAAAAGAAAAGUAAAGAGUUAUGUAGACAAUACCUAUCAAAACGAGUUGAGCUCUGAUACCAUGCCAACACCAAUGCACAGAGGAGUAAAAUGACUUCCAUAGACACCAUCCAUAAGGAUGUGAAUGAAGUAGAACAUUGAAAUUGGGGAAAAUCAAUCUAAUCUAUUUCAUUGCAACUGUACACGUAUUUAUACAAGAAGAGAAAGAAAUAUCUAACUUGUAACUACCUUAUAACUGUCAAUGAGCAGGAAGCUACAACUCACACUAACUAACAAAAUAACCAACUGGUCUAACUAACUAACUGAGAAUUAAUUAACUAAUAACAUUUAAUUAACUAAUCUAUUCUCAAUAAUACUUAUAACAUAAAAAAGAUGUUACGAAAUUAUGCAAUGAAAUUCAGUAGCAUUUAUUUACUUCUUUAAUUUUUUCACUUCAUCAUUCUUACAAGAUGCAACACCCGGAAACUAGUAAGUUAAACUAGAGCUUUACGUGAAAGUUCUAGAGUUUGAUGUGUGGGUUAGAAUCGUAAAAUGACUUUCUGUACUUAGAAUAAAUGUUUUAGGGCUAGGGCGUCAAGGUACGACCCCCCAAGGACCAACCAAGGGUCCUUGAGGGGGACCCAAAACAGUCCCUAGAAGCUGCCCAAAAACGGGCCACCUACGGAUGGGACUCACGCCCUGUAGGUGGACCCACGCCCCGUGGGAAGAGGUCGUGGGUCAAGGCCCCAAGUUGUUGAGUUGCAGGCCACCACCUACGAAGGAGCAGCACACUCCGUGGACCCUGUCACGGUCCAUGGGUCGGGGUCUCGUGGGUUGGGGUAAUGUUGGUCCUAGACGGUUUAAGUUGGGGACUUAGAGGUUAGUCCAUAAUUAGUUAGAGGUUAAGUGGUGUCAUUUUAUUAGUAAUUAGACCACCUAUAUAAACCUAAUAGACCCCUAAACUAAAUCAAUUAAGUCAUUCUUCCAAUACCCCAAAACAAACCCAAUUCCCUCCAAGAAAACUUCUCUCUAGAAAACUCAAGAAGAAGAAGAGAAGCAAUCUAGGUCAAAGUCCUCCAUUGUUGCAAACAUUAUGAGGGCUUUAUAAUCAAGGUAUGUUAGCUUAUUCAUUCAUGGAUACUUCCAUCCAUGUAGCCCCUUAGAAUUCCCCCAAUUGUGAAGAUGAACCCCAUCUAAGCUAGGGUUUCUUCCUAUGUUGUGGGUAGUGUUGAGUAUGAUUCCAAUUGAGUGGAUAGUACUUGUUUAUGAUUGAUUUAGUAUUGAAUUAAGAUAUUAUUAUGAUAUUAUGUGUUUUCCAUAGUUAACCCUAGUCUAAUUGAUGAAAUUGGAGAAUGUGGGUUUAUGUCUUGUGAGGGAAAAUUGAGGAUUCAUAGGUGAUCUUCUAGAAUUGAUUACAUGUAUAGAAAUUGAUCAAGAAUAGAAUUAUGUAAACAUGAAUUGAAUUAGAUUAAAAGAUUAUAUGAUGGAUCUUAACUAGUGAUGAGUGAGAUUGAGUCUUUAUGAUGAUUUAUGACUAGAAUCACUUGAUAAUAAAGAAUAUGAUUAGAAAGUCUUGAAAUCUAGGUAUGAAUGGUGAUUGUAAGAAUUAAAGCUUUGAAUGUAAGGCUUGUAGUCAUGAAUGUUGGUCACUAGGGUUUUGAGAGUAAAGCCAAUAUGAUGAACUAUGUAUGUUAAGGCUUUGAGAGUAAAAUCUAUAUGAGAAUAAAAAGCUAAUGAAUAAAAUUGGAUAUGAAAUACUUUUACCUACCUAAUCUACCUCAUGAAUGUUUGAAUGCAUAAGGUGAUAGAAUCACAUGAGUUAAGAUGAUAUCCAUGUCUAGUGCUUGAAACCUAAGGGUGAUGAUUGAAAGUAAGUCUUGAACCUCAAGGAGGUGAAUUAGGAGAUUGUACUUAUAGUAAUUGAACUAUUUGAAUCAUGUUAACAUCCAUGUCUAAUGUAGUAAUUCUAGAUGUGUUGAUUGAAUAUGACAUAUGGUCCUUGAAGGGCAAAUUAUGAGAAUUAUGCAUGAUUAUGAGAUUUAUGUAUAUGCUUUAAGAACACUUUGAGAGUGAAGUGUCUAUGAUUAUGAUGAUGUUGUUGUGUUGAUUGAAAGGCUAUUCUCAUGAACACACAAUGAAUUAAUAUAAUGUGAAAGGUUUUCUCAUAAUAUGAUGAUUCUAAGGUUGAAAGGCUAUUCUCACCUAUUGAAUCUUAUGAAUUAUGAUGGAUUUAGUGUCAAGGCAUUCUUCCAUGACUAUGAACUUAAGUCAAGAAUAAUAUGUACCCCGUGGGAAUUAUGCUUAGCACCGAGUGGACAUUGAAUAUGAGAUCGAAGCUCCCCCGUUAGAAAGAGCGGGUUUCUAGAAAGUAUCUCAUGAGAUCGAAGCUCCCCCAUUAGAAAGGGCUGGUUUCUAGAAAGUAUCUCCUUGGGAUGGAAGCUCCCCCGUCAGAAAGGGCGAGUUUCUAGUAGCAAUCCACAUAUCCCAUAUACUACGUGCCCCCGUAGGUUAUUUAGCUAUUGAAUCCACCUAAAAGCUAAUAUAUGUUAGUUCUACCUUAGGCAAGUAGGACACCUCUUUUCAGUGUGGGCAUGACACCCGAUUCCCAUGCUAAGCUCACAUGGUCUAUGUCGGUUAAGGCUUAUUCCCACUAGAAUAAGAAUAUGAAUUAUGAACUAUGAUUACUCAAGAAGCUUUACUUAGUGUGUGUGAGAGUAUGAGAUCUUAUUCAUGCAUUGCACAAGUAUGCUUUGAGGGUAGUUGUGGUAUGUUACUUUUAUGUUAUGAUGGUCUAUGUGAUGAAUAGACUUAUGACUUAUGCUUAUGACGUAUGCUUAGUUUGGAUUGUAGCUUGAAAGGCCCUUCCAAUAUAUGUGUGACUAAAUGUGAGUGUUCCCUUAUCUAUGAGAACAAAAGAUGAUAAACAUGAAUGAAGAACCUAAAGUGUCGAGCUUAGCAUGGAUAAGAUUAUGGGGUCUUGUUCAUGCAUGGCACAAGCUUGCCUUGAGGUGACUCAUGAAGUGUUUCUCUUAUAUGAUGUAUGCUUAGAUAUGAUUGUGCUAUAGUUGCCUUCCUUGUUAUGUUAUAAUUGACUAAAAGUGAGAGAUUUCCUUGGUUAUGAGAAUUAUACUAAGGAUGAGGUCCUAAGAUGGUAAGUAUGACUAUGAUGACCAAAGGGGAUACUUAGCAUGUAUAGGAUUAUGGGAUCAUAUCCAUGCAUUGCACAAGUAUACUUGGAGGUUCCUUAUGAAAUGGUUCUCUUGUGUUAUGAAAGUCUAAGUAUUGACUAUAUAUAUGAACUAUGCUUUAUGAUGACUAAUGUUUACAUUAUGUUUAUGUUGGAAAUUAUGCUUAUGAAUAUGCUAUUGCCUCUUAUGAUUUUGGCUUAUGUAUUAUAUUGACCAACUCUUAUGUUAUGCUCUUAUGAUGUUAUGCUAGAUAUCAUAUUUAGUACUUUUGUACUAACGCAUACUUUUGCCUACAUUCUUAUCAAAUGUAGGGUUCGGUGAUUUUGAGUUCCAUUCUUGAGGAUAUGUUUCUAAGGAGCAAGGGGUUGAAGACUUGGUGAGUCCUCAUAGCUUCGGGGACAACACCACCAUUUCCUUAAUGCCUUUCUUUAUGUUUUGAGACUAUUGUAUGGGCAGCGUCCCAAAGGUUUUAUUCAAAGUUGAGUUUAGAUGGUUUGAGACAAAGUGUAGUAAGACUUCCGUUUGCUUUUAUAGAAGACUUCGAUUGUAUGGAUAAAGUUUUAAAAUUUUCCGUACUUUUCUAUUAUCUUAUGUUAUGAUAUGCUAAGGGAUUGUAUGAGACCCCUUCGGGGUCAAAUACGUCAUAUUACAUCUAGGGUGUACCCCUGGGUCAUGACACAAGAGGAAGUUCUAGCUAAAUUGAAAGGCACUUCAUGAUUUUUUAUUUUUUUUUUAUUUUUAAAUACACUUCAUGCAUUAGGUAAGCCAUUUUUGUGGUUAUACUAUAAAUAGUAUUUCCUCUUCUAAAUUUAUUUAUUUGAUUUUGAUUUGACACGAAGUUUAAGAAAAUAAAAUUAAAAUUAAAAUUUUGUGACCUGAAAUCAAAGAUAUGUAGUUUUAUGAUCUUAAACAUGUCAUACUGAAGUUGAGAUUAAAAAAUCUCAUAGGAAAGAAAUAUAUAUUUUUUAAAAUGGACUAAAAAUAAAAGUAAGAUAAACAAAUUAAAACAAAUGAAAUACUCUAUUUUAAUAUAUUUUAAAAUAAAUAUUAUUUUUUAAUUUAAAUAUAUAUAAUUUAAUUUAAAAUUUUCUCUUCUUAUCUUGAACGUAACUAUUCAUAACCGUAUAAAUAUCUAAAAUAUUUAUAUACUCAAACGUAUCAUCGAUCACUACAGAAAUUGAGAUGGAUGGUGUACAAUAGACUUCCUCAUAAAAUAAAGAUUUUAAUUCAUUGGCAAUUGGCAGUGAGUAAGCAUGAAAAUCAUACGUUUUCAUAUGCAUACAUGCAAAGCUGAGGAUCAACCACGAAUGCACAUAUGACAAAUAGGUCUCCGUCUAUAAGUAGGCGCGAUAAAAAAUUACUGACGGACACAAUUUUAUAGUUAAACAGUAAAAGAAUUUAUAUUAAUCUCAUUUAGCUAUGAAUUAACUAUAAAUUAUUAAAGAAUUCAAUAUAAUUACCUAAAAGUGUUUAAGCAAUGAAUUAACUAGAAAUUUUAUAAUUAAUUUGAUGUUUCUUGUAGUAGUGUCAAUUCCUUGUGUCACUCCUAGCUGUUUUUAUAACAUCAAUGCAACAAUUUCCUAAAUUUCAUGAGUUUCCUCUCUUAAGUCCCCACUCCCCUAUUUUCCUCCAAAAUCAUCCUUCACUCUUGGGAAAGGCCACAUUUUGUCUCCUCCAAUAUUUUAUUCAAUAUUCACACCGCCACAUUGAUUUCACCAAUAUAAAAGCAUCUUAUUUUUAUUAUUAAGUCCUACCAUAUAUUCUUCAUCUAAAGAUUGAAAUAUUUAGAAAUUAAUGGUGGAAUUUGAAGAAAUUAUGGAGCCUUUGAGCCCGAUAAACAGCGAAGAGAUUAUUGAGGAUGAAGAAAUCAACUACGAUGAUCUGAAACGUCGUAUGUGGGAGGAUCGCAUGCGAAUGCAAAUACUCAAGAGGGACAUGAUCAUCAACUCUACUAGCGAAGAAUUAUCACUUGAUCAGGAGUCAGAGGAGGAGUCAGAGGCUAAGCAAGAACAAUCUCGCCGUAAGAAGAUGUCUAGAGCUCAAGACUCCAUCCUCAAGUACAUGGUCAAAAUUAUGGAGAUUUGUAAAGGUCAAGGCUUCGUCUAUGGGAUAGUACCCGAAAAGGGGAAGCCCGUGACGGGGUCAUCGGAUAGUUUAAGAGAGUGGUGGAAGGACAAAGUGAGGUUUGAGAAGAAUGCCCCAAAUGCUAUCUUGCCUAAACUAGUUCAAGAAAAUCAUGUUAAUUCAUGCAUGGAUCUUCUAAAUGACUUGCAAGAUACUACUUUGGGUUCACUCCUUUCAUCUCUUAUGCAACAUUGUAUUCCUCCACAAAGGAGGUUCCCUUUGGAUAAAGGCUUAGCUCCACCAUGGUGGCCUACAGGGAAGGAACUAUGGUGGGGUGAUCAAGGGUUUUCACAACAACAAGGACCACCACCAUAUAAGAAGCCUCAUGACUUGAAAAAAGCAUGGAAGGUUAGUGUUUUGGCUGGAAUUAUCAAACAUAUGUCGGUUAAUUUCGACAAAAUGAGGAUGUUGGUGAAGCAAUCAAAGAGCUUGCAAAACAAGAUGACGGCUAAAGAAACAGCUACUUGGUCUAAAGUGGUUAAUCAAGAAGAAGUCCUUGUCGAGAUGACCCAAAAAUCUCUCAGGAUCAUUUCGAUAUCAAAAGAGGAAGAAGAUGAUGAAUAUCUUGCUUUGAGGAGAAAAGAGAAAAGGAAGGGUACUGUGUUUGAGAGCGACAUAGACAUUGAUGAUAUGUUAUAUCAAAACUUAAAUUGCGUGCAAAGUGAGUUAGGAGUUGGAUUUUAUCGCACUAUGAAUGAACAACAAAGUGUCAGGGGAGAGGACGAGUCACUUAAUAUGUUCAUGAGCAAUUUUACUAGCUUGAUUGGAAGACAACCUAGACCACACGAAGAAAUAAUGGUUGGUGAUGAUCAUCAUGGCGAACAUGAUUGGGUGAACAUGGAGAUAAAAAGAACCUUCGAGAACUACCAUAUUGCACAAAAUGCUAAUGGAGGAUCAGUUGAGGAGAAUUUCCAAGGCUUUUGGGGAGACAAUAAUAAUGUCCUUCAUUAUGGAAACAUCAUGAACUUGAAUGAUACACCAAAAGAAAAUGAACAGCAUCAAUCUCCCCUCUCUGUUUGGGAUUUGGCAUAUGAGGAUACAUCGGAAUAAAUCUAGCUUUAGCUAAAAUAAAUAAUUCGCGUGUGUGUGUGUUUUCCCUAGAUUACUCGCAUUUCAUGUUUUAGACACGGUUUAUCAUAUAAAUAAACUACGUACUAUAGCGUCAUUAUCUUUUCUUAUUUGCUCUUUUUUUUUUCAAUUUCCCCCUUUGAUGUUAUCAUGCUUUACAACUUGAUGGGAUAAUUAAUAGGGGGAAUCCAUCUUUAAUUUGUCCCUCAAGUUACAACAUACAACAUAUACCUAAUGAGGUUAGAGGUAGUUAAUUUCCGAUAUAUUGUCCCAAGCUAGCUAGAGAAAUAGAAGAAGAUAUUUAUUAUAGUUAGAGUGGUACUGUAUUUCAAUAAUCAUAAAAGCUGUGUCUCUGGGGUAUAAAAUCGUCAUAGUGAUCCAUCCUAUUAGCAAUGCAAGAAAAGCCCUUUCUAAAUUUGGAGUUAUUCUUCUUGACUAGCUCUGCCUCCACCUCUACAUCCACCGCGAAAACAGAACAAACUGGUCUAUGAUCUGAAAAUCUUGAUUCCCCUCGAAUAUAAGAUAAUUGUUCAAUGCCAUCGCCUCGCCAUAAUAUUCUAUCACACCUGAAAUUAAUUAGUACUAUAAAUCAUGAGGAGGAUAAUUAAGAGAUGAAAAGGUAAGAGAUAUACCAUGCAGGGGUUCUUCGUUUCUUCUUAGACUUUGUUGUCUCUCCGGCAUAGGAAUCAGAAUUAUGAGAAUACUUAUAUGUUGGAGCGAAAAGGAUCUUCCCUUCUUUCCACCCACUAAACACUCUUCCUGAUUCUCUCUCCACAUUCAACUGUCACCAACAUAAAUAUGAACCAACGAUUUAGGAUACAAUAUUGCACUCACUUUAAAACUACGAAAAAUUAAUUCCCCCUUUUUGAGGAAAUAGUACAAUAUAUCCCUUGUAGUUCAAAUUAAAAAAGAAAAAAGCACCAAACCUGAUCCUUUUCCAAAAGAGAGUCCCAGUCAUUAUCCUCUAAAAGAAGCCUUGUUUCUUCAUAGCUCAAAGACACUCGAUAGUUCAAGUCUCCAAGCCAUAUUGCACGCCUGAAAUUUAUUCAGCUCUACAAUAUAUAAAUGUGAUAUUGAUAAUAUUGAGUGAGUUCGUUGGACAAAAACUCCAUACGCCUCUUGGUAUAAUAAGUAGUAAUUCUCUAGCUAGCUCAUAGUUAUUAGUAAUAUAACAAACACAAAGUGUAUUGAUUGGGAAAAGAAAAUAACUUACUGGUGAUCAGUAAUUUUUUCUGCGAUUCCUCUAUCGGGAUUCCUACAAAUUCUGGAAAAUUGUAUGCUUUUAAGAAUCUCAGCAACAUCUGCAUUUCUUCUUAGCUCAUCUCCUUCUUUCUCCCCAGACGCUAAGUGACUGCACACAAAGCAAAAGCUCGUCCGAUACAAUGACAUGCUUAUUGCUAUACACCCCUGCAUAUUAAAUUACAAGAUUUGAGGGUAUAACUUUAGGUACGAAUAGUCGAAUAUGGGUAUAGGGAUUUGGCUAAAAAUAGAGUUUUAUGUCUAAAUUAUGUAGAAAACUAACAAGGUAUCCCGAGGAGAAAAUAUUGAGAAUAUCACAAGGAGAAUAAGGAAAAGGACUUGACAUAAAUAAUAAUAAUUAUAUACUCCCUAGGUAUUCUGAUCUAUUUUCUUCAAUUUCACCAUAGGGGUUUAUUUGAUUAUGUACGGAAAUCAUUGUAUCUAUUCAAAAUUUCUCCAUCGAUUCUAGUCAAAGUAUCCAAAAUUAAUUGACUAGAACCAAUACUAAUCCCAUACCCACACCUAUGUCAUGUAAACAUGGGUGUGAUGCCAAAAAUGAGGAAUCCAAACAACUUAGAUAUUCACAAUUUGAAAUUUAUGGACUUCCUACAACAACCUCAAAUUAUAAGUAUACAAUGAGUAAUAGUUAUAUUUACAAUCAAAUAUUUAUAAAUUUUAAGUGAUACUUAAUACAUAUAUAAGACAGACACGAAGACACACAAAAAAAUUGUACUAUUUACAAAAGUUUUUAAAAUCUCUUGGCAUAAUCUUUUUUCCCCCUAAAUUCCUAACUCCGACAUUAAUAUAAGGUAUUUGCAAAAGUUACUGAAUUCACGAAAGCUAUUUCCCAAAGAAAAUGUGCUUCUUAACAAGCAACAUUGGUAACACGAAAGCUCAUUUCUAUCAUAUUAAAUAUUCCAAUCUACUAUACCUACCAUAUUCAAAUUGGAAAAAAAAAAAAAAAGGAAGAUUGAAUAGAAUAGUCAAAUAUCAAAAAAGUUUCUUUCACAAACCUUAUUUCCAAGACAACCCAUGAUACCUCUACCAAGAGAAGAUAUUCUGAGAUGUCCAAUAUGUUGUGCUAACUCUUUUCGUGCCCAAACUGAAAGGAAAAUCCCAACCAUUUGCUUGCUUGAUAUAAGAUGAUAACUCAAACCAUAAUUAGUACAAGGAAAUUUCUGAGCAAUCGACUGUAAAUCGUCUUCGCGAAAAUGUGUCAAGAGAGAACAUGAAGGAUCACUAAGCUUUCUCAAACGUCUUGUUGUUGAAGGACAAUUACAUGUCUUGAGGAGGUUACUAUUAGCCUUUAAACUCUUUUUAACAACUUUAAGAGAAUGCUUAUUGAAUAAACUGUUGGAUUUUGAACUGCUUGAAUCAUCAUGAUUAUAUGAUGAUUUGUUAAGUGCAUGGCUUAUAAGUGCUAGCCAUCUUGCUGCUGGUUCACUAUCUUCACUCACUAAUACAUUUCCUGCAUUUAAGGGUACAAUUUCUUGAAACCUGAAAAAUAAGGCAUGUCACAUCUUGUAAGGCCCUAGAUAAAUACUCACUCCGUUUCAAUUUGUUUGUCUGAUUUUGAUUUGACAUCACGGAAUUUAAGAAAGUAAAGAAGACUUUUGAAUCUUAUGAUUUUCAACUAAAGAUAUGCAUGCCGACUGUACCAAAAUAUUUUUUAAUCUUCUGGUCUGAAACAUGUCACGUGUGAAAAGUUAAAAUGAAAAAGUUGUCAAAAAAGGGAAUGCAUUCCCGUUGAGAUGGACUAAAAAGGAAAAUAAGACAGACAAAUUGAAAUAGAGGACGGAGUAAUAGAUGUUGAAGUUAUCAUACCCCAAAACAUAUAUAUCUGCAGAACCUUCCACUUGCAAGAAAUCUUCAAGAUUAAGUCCAUGAUUAGGAGUUUUUCCUCCUACAUUCCAUGUCCCAGCAAAAACCCUAAAAUUUUCCAGUCACAUAUAUAUAUAUAUAUACAUAUACAUACAUAUCCUAGUUAAUUAAUUCUAGUAAGUUAACAAUUCAUUUGUAAAUCAAGAAAAAUCAUACCUAAUAUUUUUAAUCAUAGUAGCAGGUUGUGUUGACUGAUCAAAAUUGGAAAGAUUUAGGCCUUCAAUCCUUGCACUAUUAUGCCUUGCUGAGAGUAGAUAAGAAAUUAGUAUCAUGGUUGUUGUGGUUUGGAUUUUCUUACAAUCUUCAGUUUGAAAUUAAAAGGUAUGGAUUUUAUAGGGAAAUUUAUCAAUAGGUACCGUUCGGCCAAAUUUAUUUAUCAACAUGAUCAAAAUAUAUACUGAUUAUGUAUAUAUAUUAUAUGUAUAUCGUAUGUACUCAUGUAUAUAGAUACUGACAGAAGUGUUUGGAGCGGUAAGAUCCCUAUUUUAGAUAUAUAACUUUUUUCAGUGGGCAAAGUCCUCACAGGUCAAAUUUCUACACAAGAAAAACUACUUCCACGUUAUUUUCAUUUUACAACAGUAUAGUGAAAAGAAAUAGUAUUUGCAAAUAAUCAAAAUACAAUUUAGUCUUCUGUUAGGUGAGCUACCAAUAUUAUGCUAUAAAUGAAGCUAAGCAGAUUAUGGAGAAGAUACCUAAUUAAGUGUACGUGGCUAACACACAUUAAAUGAUUGAAAUUUCUUAAUAUUAACGCAUCUACACGCAUGCUGUAUUUAUAUUAAAUCAAUGAAUGUAAUAUACGUGCUUUUAUUAAUUUAACCAUGAUUAAGUGUCAUAUUUUCUCUCAACAAACUGAUAAAUUUUAAAGAGCAUCGGUUAGGAUAAACAUCUAGUGAACAAAGGAGAAUUUGUAAUACUGCAAUCGGAUACAUCUGAAUUCAAUACUUUCGAUACACAAUUGUAUGUAAAUAGCUUACUAAAAUUGCAACAUAUAGUAAGUUUGAGCUUAUAAUUUAAAGAACAUAAUGUAUUCAAUAUUGAUAACCUUAAAGAAUACCCCAUAAAUAUUUAUUAUAAACCUGGUGUUGUAUACGUUUGAAUUAAAAUGGCGUGUAAGACUAAAUGCACCAUUAACUAUAGCUAUAUAUUGAUAACCUUAGUCAAAUAUGUAAAUGAAGGGUGAAAGGUGACGAAGAAAGUAGAGAAAGACGACUAAUUACACGAGAUACAUGUCAUCUCUCACCAGCAACAAGUAUUAGGUAACUCUGUCCACCAAAAUUAGAAUAGAUAAGAAGAACCACCUAGCUAGUGUUUUUUAAAGACCUCGAGAUUCUCAACCACUUCAUUGACCACUAGACCACACUCUUAAAUAUAUGAUAUUGUUUUUCCUCAUAUAACAACCUAGAUUAAAAAAAGACUUGUAGAAUCAUCAAAAGCACAAAUAUAAAACUUUAUAUCUAGAUACGUUACUUUAACAUGAACAUACGUACAAUGGAUAAAUUUAAAUAAUAAAAUUCCAUCAUGCACAAGAAAAGUUCAUAAAAAAUUAUAACUAUUUCUCAUGUAAUUUAAUACUAAAAACAAGUUGGUGAUGAUGAUUCCUACCUGUAAAACUUCCCUUUACUGAAGGAGAAGUUUCAAAUAAAACUUUUCUCCUUGAUAUAAUCUUCCAAUCCACUUCAAAAAAUAAAAUAAAAAAUCAAUUACAAUAUAAAAUAUAUACAUAAAAUUCAAAAAAUAAAAUAAUAAUUGUAAAUCAAACCUUGAUCAUUUUUUUCUGAUUGUGUUACAUCCUCUUCAAAACUUCCUCCAAUGCUUUUUGAAUUAAUAAGCUUUGGUAUGCCAGACUUUUAUUCAAACAUCAUUAAAAAAAUAUAUAUCAAAAAUUUAUUUUAUUUUAAAAAAAAAUCUUAAAAUAAAUAAAUUGUACCUUGUUCCUUUCAUGACCCUUGACACAAUUGUCAAGGGUGGUGGUUGUGGUGGGGGGGACGNNNNNNNNNNNNNNNNNNNNNNNNNNNNNNNNNNNNNNNNNNNNNNNNNNNNNNNNNNNNNNNNNNNNNNNNNNNNNNNNNNNNNNNNNNNNNNNNNNNNNNNNNNNNNNNNNNNNNNNNNNNNNNNNNNNNNNNNNNNNNNNNNNNNNNNNNNNNNNNNNNNNNNNNNNNNGGUGGUACCGCCGCCGCUGGCGGUGGUUUUAACGACGACGGCAGCGGCGGCUUCCGCCUUAAUCAUGUGGAUGCUAUCAUCAGAUUUACAACACCUUGUUGGAGACGACAUUCAAGAUUAUAUAAUGUUGGAUUAAAUUAAUAAAUCCACAAUUCCAAAAUUGGAGUCAAAUCUAAUUUCUUCUUAUAAAUUAAUUAAAGAAAUACUAAUUAAUUUUAAUAAUAAUCUAUUAAUGCACAGAACACCAAAGGUAAAAUCCAAGAAAAACUUUUAUUGAUUCCUUUCUUGUUGUCUACCUAAAUUUCUGUGUUCUUUUUUGUUAUGUGCUUUGUGUUUGACUUUGUAUUUCCUAAGCUUUAAGCUUUUUUUUGUUUCUAUAAAAAAAUAUUUUUAUUGUUAACAAAAUGUAAUUAAAAUGCUUCUUUUUUUUUUUUUUACUUUUAGGGUUUUAUUUUUUUAAUUAAAAAAUAGUUUUUUACUUUACAAAAAAAAAAAUUAGAUGGAAUGAGAGCUUGGCGCCAAAUCUUUCGGAGAUUUUGGGGCAAAUGGUGAUUAAGCGGUUAAUGCAUCAUUAUCAACAUAUGUCUCUCUAAAUUUUAUUUAUUUUUUCCUUUUGAUUAACAAAUAUGUUUAAUUAAAACUUGUGUUUGGAAAUGAAGUUGUGAUUUCAAAUUAGUAUAUUAAAUAGAGCAACUUUCACAUAUAGCAAACACAAAAUUCAUAUUUGUAUGUUAUAGCAAAGUUUGCAUAAUUGCGCUCCAUAGCAAACAUAAAUAUGUAUAUUUCGCUAUACAUAUACAAAAGAAAGCAGUUGUAUAAUCUGCUUUGGUAUACAUAUACAAAAAUAUCAAUUGUAUAAAGUGAGAGAGGCGAGUGAGCGAGCGAGAUCUGGGAGAGGGGAACGAAAAUAUAUGUAUAUAUACAAUUUUCUCUCGCUUUAUACAAACACAAACACAUUUUAUACAAUUUGCGUUUUUUGUAUAAAGUGAGAGAGGCGAGUGAGAGAGCGAAAUCUGGGAGAGUGGCGAGCGAGAUCUGGGAGAAGGGAGAGAGGGGAACGAANNNNNNNNNNNNNNNNNNNNNNNNNNNNNNNNNNNNNNNNNNNNNNNNNNNNNNNNNNNNNNNNNNNNNNNNNNNNNNNNNNNNNNNNNNNNNNNNNNNNNNNNNNNNNNNNNNNNNNNNNNNNNNNNNNNNNNNNNNNNNNNNNNNNNNNNNNNNNNNNNNNNNNNNNNNNNNNNNNNNNNNNNNNNNNNNNNNNNNNNNNNNNNNNNNNNNNNNNNNNNNNNNNNNNNNNNNNNNNNNNNNNNNNNNNNNNNNNNNNNNNNNNNNNNNNNNNNNNNNNNNNNNNNNNNNNNNNNNNNNNNNNNNNNNNNNNNNNNNNNNNNNNNNNNNNNNNNNNNUUCAUAGCAAACAUAAAUAUGUAUAUUUCGCUAUACAUAUACAAAAGAAAGCAGUUGUAUAAUCUGCUUUGGUAUACAUAUACAAAAAGAUCAAUUGUAUAAAGUGAGAGAGGCGAGUGAGAGAGCGAGAUCUGGGAGAGGGGAACGAAAAUAUAUGUAUAUAUACAAUUUUCACGCAUUUUAUACAUUAGCGUUUUUGUAUAAAGUGAGAGAGGCGAGUGAGAGAGCGAGAUCUGGGAGAGGGGAACGAAAAUAUAUGUAUAUAUACAAUUUUCUCUCGCUUUAUACAAACACAAAUGCACUUUAUACACUUGCGUUUGUAUAAAAAACGAGAGAGGCGAGGGAGAGAACGAGAGUGGCGAGCGAGAUUCACCAGGAGAGAGGUGAAAUAGCAACAUUUUGCUAUGAGGUACAAUUAAAUCAAACUAUAUUUAUAGCAUUUAAUUUGAAUUAAUAGUUUGCUAUUAUAUACAAUUUUCCCUAUUAAAUAAGCGUUUGAAUAUGCAAUUUGGGAUCAUAAUUUUAAAUUUUAAAAAAAUGAAUUUGGGAUUCUAAAUUUUGAUUUUAAUUUAUUUUUUUAAAUGUAAAAUCCCCCCAUAAGUUUAUAGUUUGUACAAAUAGAUUCAUUAUUUUAAUUUUGUGAAAAAAUACUCAUGUUCAGCAUCAAAAAAUUAUUUGUUUAUGUGAAAAAAUCAUAUUAAAGAUUAAUUAUUACUACUUAUUGAUUAGUUGAUCUUUAUAAACAAUGCGUAUUUAAAAAUUUGCAAUCAGAAAUAUUUAUUUAUAAAAGAAAUAUGAAGACGACUCUUGGAAGAUCUUAUUAGAAUUACCUAAUUGGAAACCAAUAGCUCUCACACGAAUUUUAUAUUUGUAUUAAAAAAAAGAGUAAAAUAUUUUUAAAAAUGACUUGAGAAACCACUGACAAAUGUGUUGUUUGAUCUCAAAAAUGCAAUAAAUUCAAAUGGUAAAAAAGUCUGAAAUAUUGAUUUCAUCAAGUUUACUUAAUUUUUUUUAAAUUCGGGUUAGUGUUUGAUCACUCUACGUACAUCUCGAUUAAUUCAAUGACUUAUUAUCUCUUGUUUAAUUUGUAAUGUCAUUCUCACUCUACUACACAACUUCGUGAUAAUUUGGUAUAGUACAUGAGAAUAAUAUUAAAUAUAAUGUAAAUAUUACUGAAAUUAGUAAUGCGGAGAUUAAUUAAACAAAAUAUUAUUUUAUUAUCUACUAUUUAAUUUGGUGUAUUAAAAAAUAUGUAUUGCAUAAUUACUAAAAUAAUUAUUUGUUUAUGAAAAUAUUCUCCACAUUCUUUAACUUUAUACACUCUGAAGAGCAAUUAUAUACUUAUACUUGGUAUCAAAAACUCUUAUAUUGGUAAUAUCAUGAUUUAAUAUGUAUUAAUCAUACCUACCUAAGAUAAUAGCAAAACUAAUAUUUUUUUCUCUAAUACAUCCCACCAAACGAUACUAAAAGAAAUCAACGAUAGAUAGUAAAAGACAAGAAAGUACAGAUGACUAUCAAUAUAAACGGACAACAGGACAAGUUCAAAAAGUUAAUAUUAGUUGCAGUAGUAACUUUUUGCAUACAUCCUCCUCCCUGUACCGCUGCUAUGAUAGAGAAUUUGGAUUGUACAACUAAGAAUAGCCACAUUCUUGGACCCAUCUACCAUGGAAUUUGAGAUUAGACAAGCUAAGCUUGUCCUAAAGACAAAUGAUAUAGAAGCUGAUCAAAAGACAACCAAACCAACAUACAUGACAAAACAGAAAAAAGAUCCUUAAUAAACAUAUAGAAAUAAUCUUCCAGGACCAAAGAAAUGGAAAUUUUGAAAGCUGUUGUUGCCAACGAACAUUUUUCUUGGGCUGUCAACCUAAUCUGUAACCUAAACCCUCCAUAGAAAACAAUUAUAUCUUAAGGUAAAUGGGAGAAACCCUGGCUAAAGGAACAUAAAAAUGAAUUCACAUAGUUCCUCAAAUAACCAUAGCAGAAAACAGGCAAGUAGAAAUCAGCUUUUGAUCUGAUAUCCCCUGUUCUGCAAGAAGUCCUCAUCUUGUGUUGCCAGAUCUCCGCUGGUGUAUUCACUUGACCAUAACGAGGGGCUCAAUUUGUGUUGAGAAACACUAGAAAUUGACUGUCACAGCAUGUAGCUACAGAAACUUUCUUCCGUCAUGGCUCUUGUGUUUCUCAGGAUUAUUGACGACUCAAGAUACCUCAAUGAAUUUCCAGCAACAUGAACAUAUUUAAGCUUGCAUGAUAGCUUUUUCUUUUCAGGAGCAAAAGUUAUAAAGACACUUCAUCUAACACUUCAUCUAACAGAUUUUGCUUGUAUAAGGCCAAAUUCUGCAGAAAGUGAUAAUAGACUACAUAAAUUUCAACAGCUCUACAAGGUUUCAUGCAGCAUAUCAGAUGUGCAUCUAGCAGAAAAGUGAAAAAGAUUGGUAUUGUUUUGAAGGUAUGAUUGUUGAAAGUCCAACAACGACAAUCAGAGAUGAUGUACCACACCCACACCGCACUAUUUCUUAAAAAGAAUUUUCGAUCCGCACCACAACUGUGUAUAUCUGAACCUGCCCUGCCCCGCCUGCCAUCCCUAAUUAUUCACUUUGAACAGUGUCUAAACAACACCGGGAUUCUAAUUCCUAAUUUUCUGCUUUUUUCUUUUGAUAACUUGUACAGAGGGAGAGAUGGCUUUCUAUCUUUUACGAAGAGAUUUUUGAUAUGAUAGGUGGCAACUAGAGACAUAAAUGUUAAGGUAACAUAUCGCUACAUAUCACAUCACCUGCAGCAAUGUUUUGAACAAUGCCUUUUAUAUUUGUCAUUUUCUUAAAAGCCUUCAUCGUUUGCUAUAAUGUUGCAAAAGGAAUGAGUUAAUAUAAUUCUUUUGAUGAGUGUAGAACAAGUAUACUAAAGGACAUUACACUUAACUAAUGUUCCAUUUGAUGCUCAGAAGUCACAUUUUGUAACUCCCUGGUGUAGGCAAAGUGCAGUCGCUUAGGCGGAGCUUCAAUGCCUCUCAGGAUCCCUUUAGUAGGGCGGAGACUAAACAAUGAAUAUAGCAGGGAAAGUGACAUAUUAAUUGUUAAAAGAACGUUAUGAAUGAAUAUGUUAGUGAUUAAGAAUUAAAAUUAGGAAUUUAGCAUACGAAAAUUAGUCACCAACCCAAAAUAAAAAAUUAAAGUUACAUUUUUAUAUCUCGAUCAGAAAUUAAAGUAACAUUUUGAUUGACAAGCUUUUUACUUCAUAUAUUUCAGUUAAUUGUAUUAUUUUAUAUCUGUUCUUCAACCAAUUGUUUUUUGUGUUUUUAGUUACCUUUUCUUGAAUUACCCUUUCUUCUUCAUUGAGUCUUUAUUCACUCAAAUCCACGCUUUAGUUGCACUUUGAGCUUAGAGACUCAGCAAACGUUGGCAUUUUCUACUCUCUGUCUUUGAUAACUAUCAAUAACAUUGAUUGUUGAACUACGUUCUUUGCUUGACAACCUCCUAUUAUAAUUUUCAUAUUAGAAGGGCAGCCCGGUGCACUAAAGCUCCCGCUAUGUAAAGGGUCCGGGGAAGGGCCGGACCACAAGGGACUACUGUAAUUAUAUUUAAUUUAGUGUUAUGGUCAAUUGAGAUCAUCUUGUUCUUCUUUUUUGAACUUUUCAUAAAGCUAUUGUACCCUUGGCAUCAUCAAAGUGGCAUCUCAAUAACAUAACAUCAGCUUAAGCUUAACUUUCUAUCAACUUACUUGCUAUUUUUAGUCUGACAUCUGAAGUACUUCAGGAUACAGAAAUAAACAAGAGCUAUCUACCAACUAUUUCCUAUAGAAUGACAUACAUUAACUAAGCGGGAAAAAAGACUUUACCUCUGUAUAAGCAUAAACUCCAUCCUCCGUAGAUCCCAAGGGACUUCCUCUCCUGAUGAAUUGAUUUUCUCUAUAUAUGUAAAGCAUUGGCACUCCAGUUGAGAGUUCUAAGUGGAUGACCUGUUACCAAAGACCUAUGCAUAACCAACUAACAUACAUGCACUGAAAAUGUGUGAUACUAACAGGAAAAUGACAAUACUCAUUACCUCCUCAGCAGUCAAUUUAUCGAGAUACAUUAGGAUGGACCUCAAUGAAUUUGCAUGAGCUACUACCAUUACAUUCUUUCCACUGGAAAGUUGGGGUUCAAUCUGCAAGUAAAUGCUCAGUAAUGAGAGAACAAGAUAUCAAGCCCUGCGUCAAUAGAAACUAGUCUCCUCUAUAUGCUUUUUAUAAGUCACAGCAGCUUACUUGCUCUUUAAAAUAGGUAACAGCUCUUCGCAAGCACAUUUCCAAGCUCUCACCGUUGGGUGGUCGAGCAUCAUAGCUUCGGCGCCAUUUAUAGACUUGCUCUUUUCCGCAUCUUUCAGCUGUUUCCAGCUUAUUAAACCCUUGAAGUUCCCCGUACCUAUAAAAUAAUAACAUCCUACUGAAUCUGGGAUGACAUCAUAUUGGAAUAGAAACAAAAUGAGAGCUGUUAAAUUACAUUCUUUCAUUCAGUUGCCAUGCUUUAAUAACAGGAACAGACUGCAUCUCGGUGCCUUCACUAUAAAUUUGACUCCAUACUUUGGCUUGUUCAGUCUCAUCGUGUACAAUAAUGGGCACCUGAAAAUUCAAGAAGGAUAAGUGCUUAUAUACAGUGGCCUUUUCUUAGAUAAAUUUGAUAUCAUCUGCACAUUAUAUUGGUGACAUACGAACAAAAGAGCAUGCAAUCUUUGGUAUACCAACCUUCCAGUAAUAUGGAGACAAUUUACACUACAAUCAGGAGGGAGCCUCAUUUCUUGAAUCUCAUGGAAAGAUUUAAUGUAAUUUUUGCAAUAAAGAUGCAUUUUUUAUUUCCUGAAUUGUUUUUUGGAUGCUAAAUCCUGUUUGACCGUCAUCCAUGUCUUACAGCAUGACAAAAAAACAUAUAAAGGUAACAAUAAGCCAUAGAUAACGGAUAAGUGAUAACCAAGAAAGAGACUUUUCUAGAUAGGAUAACAUUAUCCAGGAAGCAGGAAGAACAUUUCUUGCAACACAACAAACAGAAAGGCUUAUUUGUUUAUGAAGCUCAGGAUAAUCUUAUUUCACAUUGCUAAUUCAUGCUGUAUCUAUACUUUUUUAAACCUGUCCUCAUGAAUUCUGAUUUAUGAAUCAGGAAUAUUAGCAUAAAGCAGGCCAAAUGAUUGGAAAUAAUUAGCAAACAAAUUUAACAAUUGAUAAGGGGAACUUUCUCCAGAAUGGUUCACCAAGAAAAGGACAAGUUUUGAUAUGCAUAUGACAGAUCAUAAGGGGACUUGACAUAGCAUAAGAGCAGACAGCACUAGGACAGCUGUAAUUGUUCCAACUGUACAUGAAGUUAUUCAAACUAAAAAGUAAAUUCAAGAAUAUUUUUAGUGCUACCCUAAGUCAUUUCAGAGACUUGCACUAGUUAGCAGGACCAUGCUUCAAAAAAACAAGUUUUUUCGAAGACCAAAAUGCAGAAGUACCUUCUUGCAGUGGUGCUCUGUUAGGGCAAGCAUGGCUGUCAUCUGAGAACGAAUCAAUGCAGAGAUGUAGACAACAUCAAUGGGUAAGUGUCUAAUUCUCUUACCGGCUUCAAUUGCUUCAUCAACGCCUUUAGUGGUGAGUGGCACAUCUACACAACCAGUGAACAGGUUCUUUUCAUUCCACAUUGAUUCUCCAUGCCGUAUUAAGAUCAAGUAUGAUUCAGCUGCAGGGAAUAAGGCCUUAAAUAGGACAAGAUCACAAACUAGAAUCCAGAUACCAAAACGAAUAACGAGAACUCACUUUUUGAUAGAUGAUAACAAGAAUUACUGGGAAGGAGUGUACUCACGUACUGUUCUCCGUGAAUCAUUGGUACUUGAUAAUGAGGAGAAAAUUGGCUUAAUAGCACAUAAAGGUGACUCUGAUGAAUACUUCACACAGUUUACAUACUGCCUCAAACUGCAUCUCUCUUUUCUAAACACUGGUUUCAUUUUAAGACUCCCAGAUGAAGAUGUGACCAGGAAGUCCCUAGCACCCUCGUUGGCAGUGAAGCAUAUUGCUUGGUGAUAUGCAGCAGCAACCAUAUUGAGUAUAAAGUUAUCCCAACUAAGCACCAUAAAAGAAAACAAAAGGAAACUGAAUAGACAUCCCCACAGUGUUCAGCAAAAUUUCACAAACAAAGAAAGAACUGCAUAUCAUACAUACUGAUAACUAAUUGUCGGAUAAGUUAAUAGACCAUUUUAAAAAAGGAAAAAAUAUUCUAAUAAGUUUAUGAUCAACUAGUACAAACAAAUUAAUGGAUAGCUAACAAUAAACUUUUCAAAAAAAUAACUUUACAUCAGAAAUGUGUUAUCAUAAAUUCUAUCAAGCUGAUCAUACAUGUUCACAUUCAUGUAACUAAGAGAAAAAAGGGGUAAAGGUCCCGCUAUGCACUGGUUCAGGGCAGAACCACAAGGGUUCUGCUAUACACAGGACCUCAACACCAACUAUAAUCAUUCCAAAUCAAGAAUGUGCUCAAAGGGCACAUGAUGCUACAUGGAGUAGAGACAUUUCCUAUUUAAGGAUAUUAAGCAGAACCUUAAACAGAUGGAUUAAAAGAGGAGAAAAAGAUGGAAUCUUGAUUUUAAAUGAGAGUUGACAAAAAGAUGAUCUUUACCUCUUUGUGAUCAAACUUCACCUUUCAACAACUGUGUAAUCAAACGAAUGCAGACACAGAAGAAGCUCAUACAUGUGAACGCGGAGAUCUCAAAGAAUGGCUGCCGGAGGUUGCUGUCAGUCUGUCACAGUCAGAUGCGACGCCGUUUCAUACCUGAAGGGCUUUGUUCAAGUUGGGCUUCGAUUAGGCUAAUUUUUCACAAAUAUGAUCUUUUACUUGAGUAGCCGUUCUAUUACAGCCCUUUAGCAAUGUAGCCUAUUAACUAAUUCUAAUUAACAAUGAACCAAUAAUAAAAGAAGGAAAUUUCAAAAACAGCUAAGACUAGAAACACAAUCAGGCUUCGUAGCUAUCUAUUGUUUUCUUAAUUAUGAUUUGUAGAUACAUCUUAUAAGAAGGAAAGACGUGAACAAGAUUGGGAGAAAGGGGAGAGAGUCAAGCAUGAACGGGGAGGGAGAUACUAUUGAUCUAAUUGUACCAUGAAUACAAUUAAUCUAAUUGUAUCAUGAAUACAAUUGAUCUAAUUGUAUCAUGAAUACAAUUGAUUUGUAUAACAAAACAAGCUACUAAAAAGGUGGAGAGAGAAGAGUGAGAUUGGGUGAGGGAUGAUAGAGGCAAGCGAAAUCUGGGAGAGAGAGAUACAAUUGAUUUGUAUAUUUGAUCAAUAAUUGUAUAUCUGACCGAUAAUUGUAUCAUGAAUACAAUUGAUACAACUGAUUUGUAUCACGAAUACAAUUGUAUUAAAACCUAGUGUAUUCAAUUUGUUGAUGAAAAUCAAUUGUAUCAGGGAUAUUAACGAAUACAAUUUGUAUCGUUGUUGUAAUUGGUAACAAAUUGUAUUUGUAUUCACAAGUUACCUUGUGUAUUGUAUUUAGGAGUUACCAUUUGUCUUUGUAUCAUUGAGUGUUGCCAUGUAUAUUUGUAUUGCAGGGAGAUAGAGAGGAAGAGGCGAGAGAGAAGAGAGGGAGGAGAGAAGCGAGCGAGAGAGGCAAGAGAGGGGAGAGAGGGCAAAAAGAGAGAGGUGAGAGGGGAGAGAGGGCAUUAGCAUAGAUAUAUUUAUAAAGCAAUAGUUGUGAAUAGUAAUCCAAACUAUAGUGAUGUAUAGUAAAUACAUACCAUAUGUUUAUUGUACUACAUAAUUUUUCCUAAAUAAGAGGGCAUCAUGUGGUCUAGUGGAUUGAGUUCCUCCCUUAAUCAAACAUUCCAGUUUCAAGUCUUGAGCAUGAAAUUGUUUUGGAUAGAAAGCUCUAUCUGGCAUGAAUUUGAAUUAAUAUCAAUAUGAAUAUCAAACAACAAAUGAGAAUUCAAAAACAAAAAGCCAAGUUAUACUUGGAUGAUCGGUCAAAAUAAUUACUAGCCUAAUGUAUCAAAAACUAUAAAUUAUUUUGUAUCAAAUAUAUAUAUAUAUAUAUAUAUAUAUAUAUUAAAUAUUUGUUGGCUAUUAUUUUGAUCAACUACAUAAUGUUAAAUGUAGAUUGUAUCUUUCCCUAAUAAAAAAUAUCAGCGCUAAACUUUCACCAAAUUUUAUCAUGAUACUCAUCCUAAUUAGUAUAUAAUCCUUGAAGGACUUUUGAAAUGCAACGAGUAAAAUAUGAAAAAUGAAAAAAAAUACCUAUCGAAGCAAACAUAGUUAUUAUAUCUACUGAACUUAGCUAUAUUUAAACAUACCUAUCUAAGUCUCUAAUAGUGUAUUGAUAGUUAGUUAUAGAUAUGCAUUAGUUUGAAUUUUGAAUUGAAAAGAUAUGGUAAACAGUUUGUCUCGUAUAGGACUCUUCUAGGUAUAGAAUUUGUGUCCUUGUAGGAGUUAACCACAUCGGUUGUUCCUGCACUUUGUAUCUAUAAAAAGAGCGUCUUGCUCUUUCAUUAUGAAUUUGAUCGAUACUCUACUUUAUCAAUUUAUCAUGGUAUCAGAGCAUCAAUAAACAAUAACAAAAUAAUAAUGACGGGGAACGAUAAUGAAGUAGCCAAUUCUCCAUACACGUUGCAGCCAACUGAUAACCCUGGAGUGUCUCUGGUCACAUGUUUACUCACACAAGAUAACUAUUUGACAUGGCGGAGGGCCAUGAGAAAUGCCUUGUUGGCUAAGUCAAAGUUAGGCUUUGUUGAUGGUAGUCUUCCGCGACCAACAACAAGCUCUACAAACGAAGGUGCCUGGAUUAAGGGAAAUUUCAUGGUAAUAUCUUGGAUUUUUAACUCUCUUCAUCCCUCACUUCACAGUAGUGUAGCUUUUUUUUUAUACAGCAGGUGAACUUUGGCAAGAUUUAAAGGAGAGAUUUUCACAAGGGAAUGCUUCUCGAGUUCACCAGUUGAAAAUGGAGUUCGUGAAUACACAACAGCAGGAUCAAACAAUGAGUGUUUACUACACCAAAUUGAAGGGAUUAUGGGAUGAGUAUGGAUCGUAUUGUCAGUUUUCAAACUGCAGUUGUGGUGCCAUUAAGGAAUAUGAAGCAGAAAGGGAAAAAGAGAAGGUUCAUUAGUUUUGGGAUUGAAUAAGAAAUUUAAUGUUGUUCGAUCUCAGAUUUUAAAUACUGAACCAUUACCAUCUCUAGCCCGUGUGUAUGGACUAGUUUCACAGGAAGAACGACAACAACAACUCACUACAAGCAAAGGAAAUAAUUUAUUGGAGGGGGCGACAUUUGCUUCAAAGAGAAACACCAAUACUUUCAAUUCUCAUCAAUUGUCAGGUAACCGUGAUGUCUCUAAACUAUUUUGUGAUCACUGUAAACAGUGGAGACACACCAAGGACAAAUGUUUUGAACUAAAUGACUAUCCAGAUUGGUGAAAAAACAAUAGAAAAGAAAAGGGUAAGUCAUCUAAUUCCAGUCGAACAUUAGAAGUUGAACGUGUGGAUUACUCCCUAAUAAGUGGUUUAUCAAAAGAACAAUAUAACCAGCUUAUGUCUCUUUUAAGCCUUGAAAACUCCAAGGGUAUCGAUUCAAUGGCUAAUUUUGCUGGUAAGGCUGUUACUUUUCCUGUCGCUUAUUAUGAAUGGAUAUUAGAUUCGGGAGCGUCUGAUCAUAUGACUUGUCAGAAGAAUUCUCUGUCAAAUGAAAGAAAGCUUCUCUUUGAUUCUAAUAUAACUAUUCCUGAUGGUUCAUCUGUUACUACUAAUACUUGUGGAGACGUGACUCUUAAUUCUUCAAUAACCUUAAAUCAUGGUUUACAUGUACCAAUGUUUGGCUGCAAUCUUAUUUCUAUCAGUAAGUUGACACAAUCAUUAAAUUGUGUUGCUAAUUUUUUCCCUUCCUUUUGUGUUCUGCGGGACUUAGCCAUGAGGAAGCUGAUUGGCAUGGGUAAACUGAAGAAUAGCUUUUAUUAUUUCCAAAGUCAAGCACUAGUUUCAGCUCUUUUGUCAAAUAAAGACCAAACUAUUUUGUGGCAUCAAUGUCUUGGUCAUGUAUCUUUUAGUCGUUUGUCUUUCAUUUCAGAACUUCAGUUUUUUAAUUUCAAUAAGUUAGAUGAUUAUUGUGAUGCUUGCCACCGAGCUAAGCAAAUUUGGAAGUCAUUUCCUGUUAGUUCUAUUAAAUCUAAUGAAGCUUUUGAUUUGAUUCAUUGUGAUUUAUGGGGUCCCUAUCAUUCACCUUCUUUGUCAAAGUCUCAUUAUUUCUUGACCAUCGUGGAUGAUUUAACUAGAACUACUUGGGUGUAUUUGCUUAAGUCUAAAACUGAAGUUUCUCAUUUAUUGAUUUCCUUUCUUGCAAUGGUACAAAGACAAUUUAAUCGUCUUGUUAAAAUCAUUCGCAGUGACAACGGCACAGAGUUUACUAAUAGUUCACUUCAACAAUGUUGUCGGGAAGAAGGAAUUCUAAAUCAGUUUUCUUGUAUCUCCGCACCCCAACAAAAUGGUGUAGUAAAACGUAAACAUCGACAUUUACUUGAUGUAGCUAGAUCCUUAAGGUUUCAUGCUGGUUUACCAAUAAAAUUUUGGGGAGAGUGUGUUCUAACAACAACUUAUUUAAUUAAUUACACACCAAUACCUCUUUUAUCUGGAAAAAGUCCAUAUGAGUUGUUGUUUUCCUCAAAACCUUCUUAUGCACAUUUACGUGUUUUUGGAUGUCUCUGUUAUGCUUCAGUUAUUCCACGAUCUCGUGAUAAAUUUCAUGAUAAAGCCAAACCUUGUAUUUUUCUGGGUUAUCCAUAUGGUCAUAAAGGUUAUAAGGUCUUUGAUCUAAAAACACAUCAAGUAUUUGUUUCUCGUGAUGUGAUUUUUCAUGAAAGAGUUUUUCCUUAUAAAGAAAAUACUCUUUCUUCUCUUAAAAAGCAAUCACGAGUACCUUUACCAUUGUCAAUUGAUGAUCCUGAUCAAACCUUUUUAAGCCAAGGUCCACCACAAGAAAAUCUCAAUCUAGGCACAAUACACCCAAAUAUGGCUCUAAGUGACACCAUAAAUCUUCAACAAUCACAAGAUCAGAUUAUUGAACCAUCAAGAACACCUAUUGUUCUAACUCGACCUCAACGCACCAAAACCCAACCAGCUCAUCUUAAAGAUUUUCUAGUCAAUCUCCCAAACAAUAAUAAAAGUUCUUCUUCAGGCUCAUCCAACACAGCUUGCUCAGGUAUUGGUUCAGCUUAUCCUUUAUGUCACUAUGUUUCCUACUCCAAUUUUUCCACGGCUCAUACAUGUUUUCUUUCGGCCAUUACCCACCAUAAUGAGCCAACAUCUUACAAACAAGCAGUACAGGUGGAACACUGGAAGCAGGCCAUGAGAAAAGAGCUAGAAGCACCUGAACAACACCACACAUGGACCUUAGAACAUCUCCCAGUAGAUAAAAGAGCUAUUGGUUGUAAAUGAGUCUACAAAAUUAAGUUUAACUCUGAUGGAUCAAUUGAGCGAUAUAAGGCGCGCCAUGUCGCUAAAGGCUACAACCAAGUAGAAGGUUUAGAUUAUAAUGAAAUGUUUGCUCCAGUUGCUAAACUUACUACAGUUCGUACAUUUUUAGUUGUUGCAGUUGUGCGAAAUUGGGAUCUCCAUCAACUGGAUGUGCAUAAUGCUUUUAUUCAUGGAGAUUUACAUGAAGAAGUUUACAUGCAACCACCACCUGGAUAUUUGUCGGCCGAAUUUAAUAGAGUUUGUCGCCUUCGACGGUCACUUUAUGGAUUAAAGUAGGCCUCAAGGCAGUGAUUUGCUAAGUUUUCUACUGCUAUUUUAAGGUUUGGAUUUAGACAAUCCAAGGCUGACACUUCUUUAUUUUUAUAUCGACAAGGAAAUUCUUUUGCAGCUAUUCUUGUAUAUGUAGAUGAUGUGAUCGUUGCCACCAAUGAUUCAUUCAAUUUGAAAGCUUUAAAGGGCUACUUAGCAUCCUGGUUUCCUAUAAAGGAUUUGGGUCCUCUAAAGUAUUUCUUAGUCUAGAAGUUGCUCGCAGUUCAGAAGGAAUAGUUCUUUCACAGCGUAAAUGCGCGCUGGAUAUUUUAAAAGAAACGGGCAUGCUGGGAUCUAAACCAGUGAAAUUUCCCAUGGAGCAGCAUCACCGUUUAGCUUUGGAUGAAAGUUCUCCUCUGCAGGAUCAUGGGCCCUUUCGCAGAUUGGUUGGGAGGCUGAUUUAUCUAUUCGUUACUAGACCUGAUAUUUGUUAUUCAGUUCAUUUGUUGUCUCAAUUCAUGUACCAGCCUCGACAGAAUCAUUGGGUAGUUGCCCUCUGAAUGUUGCGUUAUUUAAAGCUUGCACCAGGCCAAGGUAUUUCCUUUCCUUAUCAAGUCCUUUAUCUAUAAAAGGAUUUUGUGAUUAAGAUUGGGCAAGUUGUCCACUCACCCGUCGUUCAACCAGUGGGUAUAUCAUAUUUCUUGGUCAUUCACCUAUUUCAUGGAAGAGCAAGAAACAGAUAACAAUGUCACGUUCUUCUGCUGAAGCAGAAUAUCGUUCAAUGACAACAACUUCUUGUGAGAUCAUUUGGAUACACCAAUUACUUUCAGACUAAUAUGUCCCUUGUUUGGAUCCAGUUUCUUUAUAUCAUAAUAGGCAAGCCGCACGUCAUAUUGCCAACAACCUAGUUUAUCAUGAACGAACUAAGCACAUUGAGGUGGACUGUCAUUUUGUUCGGACUGUAUUCAACGGGGUUUGUUGGUUUGUCAUCACAUUUCAACACAACAUCAACUUGCUGAUGAUUUUACUAAAGCUUUAGGUGCGCACCGGUUUCAAAUAUUAAUUGCCAAGUUGGGCAUUCGGGACCUCCACGCUCCAACUUGAGGGGGUGUAAUAGUGUAUUGGUAGUUAGUUAUAGAUAUGCAUUAGUUUGAAUUUUGAAUUGAAAAGAUUUGGUAUACAGUUUGUCUCGUAUUAGACUCUUCUAGGUAUAGAAUUUGUGUCCUUGUAGGAGUUAACCACAUCGGUUGUUCCUGUACUUUGUAUCUAUAAAAAGAGCGUCUUGCUCUUUCAUUAUGAAUUUGAUCGAUACUCUGUUUUACCAAUUUAUCAGUCUCGUUAACAAGCUCAUGAAGAGUAAAAAAAGAAAUGCAUCUCCAAGGUGAAGAGGACUCACUUAAAUGGUACUAGUGACUUUGAAUUUUUUUAUCAGAUGAAAGCAGUUGAAAAAUUGCUUCAUUGCUUGGCUACACUGAUAAUGACUACUGAAAAUAUUGAAGACAAAAAAAUAAUAAUUACCAGGAUAUGUUUGUAUGUUGGGGUGUAUAAUUAUUUCUUGAUCUUCAAAGAAGCAAUCUAUUGCUACUCUCUCGACUACUGUGGCAGAGUACAUCACUUCAACAUUAUGUGCUUGUCAAGCUAUUUGGUUGAAGAAUUUCAUUUUAAGCAGGAAAAAUUAACAUCAAUUUAUUGUGACAGUACUUCAGCGAUUAAUAUUUCAAAAAAUUCAAUUGAAUAUGAACGAAAUAAGCAUAUAGAUGUAAAGUAGUACUUCUUUAUGUGAUCUAACUAAAAAUACAAAAAUUGGUCUUAUUUGUUGCUGAAGUGAAAAGCAGGUUGCAAACAUGUUUACAAAUCCCCUAAAAUCAGUGUCCUCCCUAAAGCUACAUGAUCAGGCUGCAGACAUGUUGAUAAAGCCCCUAAAAUCAGUGUUCUUCCUAAAACAAUGUGAUCAACUUGGUGUUUGCAAAUUAAACUAAAGAUAUUUCAGUUUAAAGGAGGGAAUGUUGACAACGUAAUCAGCUUUGUGAAUUAGUAGUUAGCUUGCUCAAUGAGUUAUUUCCUAGUCUUUAGGUUAGGAGACUAGUGCAAUCAGUUUUUAGAUUCGUUUUUUUUUUUUUUUUAAGUAUAAACAUGUGCUUUGAUUACUAAAUUUUCUAGUAAAGAACUCUUAUAACAACAUAUUUUGAAGUAUCAACAUAAAACACUUUCACUUGCAUAUUACUUUCAUUUUGUUGCUAUUAAUUUCUAUAAUUUUAAACUUCAGGCCUCAUGGGUAGGAUAGGAAGAAUGUGUCUAUAUUAUCUAUUUUGCUUGCUUGCUUCUUAUCGGAGUUAAGAUUGAUUCCAUUAUGAAUCCCACAAGCAAUACCAUGUUACAUAUGGAAGUACUUAGACAUUAUUAUGCUUUUUUAUGAAGCAAUAUUAAAUACUAUCAAAGCUCCAACAAAUUACUCUUUUAUUAUAUUUAAAACAAACUUGAAGUAUAAGACUAUUGACUAGCAGCAAGAAAAUCAAUCAAGCCACAAUUUAAGCAUUAGUAAUAAUUUUAAUGAGCCAUUAAAUUUUCCUCAUAUACUACUAAAAGGAAACUUGGAAGUUGAACAUCCAGAAAACAAUAACAAAGAGAAUAGAAGUAUCAAUUUUGAUGCCUAAAGCAUCAUAAUCAUCAAACAUCAUAAUAAUAAUCC